CCUGCGCCUCCCCCUCCCACUGAUGAUGACUUCUUCGAGCCACCUGUCGUCGAGGUUCCAGUCGCGUCAGAUCCCCCUACGACAGAGACCCCGCAUAGAUUAUGAUUUAUCUUUUUUAUUGUAUUUGUUUAUGUAUUUAAUUUUUAAUAUUUGUUAAAACACAUUGACUUAGAUAAUGUCUCUAUUUCUUUAUGUAUUUAAAUUAUCUUUUUACUUAAAUUGUUAAUUUUAGUAUUUUUUUAUGUAUGUGAUAAAUAUAAGUUAGAAAUUUUUAAAAAUAUGUUACAAAUUUUAAAAAAUAAGUUAGACAUUUUAAAAAGUAAGUUAGAAAUUUAAAAAAAUAAGUUAGAAAUUUUAAUUGAUUGAAACAAAUAAGUUAUAAAUUUUAAUUAAAUGUAAUUGAUUGGACAAAAUAAGUUAGAAAUUUUAAUUUAUACUGAAAAUUAUUAUAUAGUUUAAACAGCAAUAAGUUAGAAAUUUCAAAAAAAUAAGUUAGAAAUUUUAAAAAAUAAGCUACAAAUUUUAAAAAAUAAGUUAGACAUUUUAAAAAGUAAGUUAGAAAUUUUAAAAAAAUAAGUUAGACAUUUCAAAAAAAUAAGUUAAUUUUUUUUAAAAAUGAGUUAGAAAUUUUAAAAAAUAAGCUAGAAAUUUAAAAAAAAAUAACUUAGUCAUUGAAACAAAUAAGUUAGAAAUUUUGAUUAAAUGUAAUUGAUUGGACAAAAUAAGUUAGAAAUUUUAAUUUAUACUGUAAAUUAUUAUAUAAUUUAAGCAACAAUAAGUUAGAAAUUUUUUAAAAAUAAGUUACAAAUUUUAAAAAAUAAGUUAGACAUUUUAAAAAGUAAGUUAGAUUUUUUAAAAAAAUAAGUUAGACAUUUUAUAAAGUAAGUUAGAAAUUUUAACAAAAUAAGUUAGAAAUUUUAAUUGAUUGAAACAAAUGAGUUAGAAAUUUUAAUUAAAUGUAAUUGAUUGGACAAAAUAAGUUAGAAAUUUUAAUUUAUACUGAAAAUUAUUAUAUAAUUUAAACAACAAUAAGUUAGAAAUUUUUUUAAAAUAAGUUACAAAUUUUAAAAAAUAAGUUAGACAUUUUAAAAAGUAAGUUAGAAAUUUUAAAAAAAUAAGUUAGAAAUUUUAAUUGAUUGAAACAAAUAAGUUAGAAAUUUUAAUUAAAUGUAAUUGAUUGGAAAAAAUAAGUUAGAAAUUUUAAUUUAUACUGAAAAUUAUUAUAUAAUUUAAACAAAAAUAAGUUAGAAAUUUUAAAAAAAAAAUAAGUUACAAAUUUUAAAUAAAUAACUUAGAAAUUUAAAAAAAUAAGUUAGAGAUUUUAAAAAAUAAGUUAGAAAUUUUAAAAAAAUAAGUUAAUUUUUUUUAAAAAAUGAGUUAGACAUUUAAAAAAAUAAGCUAGAAAUUUUAAAAAAUAACUUAGUUAUUGAAACAAAUAAGUUACAAAUUUUAGUUAAAUGUAAUUGAUUGGAUAAAAUAACUUAGGUUGUCGAUAAAACAAACGCCUUACAACUUGGGAUUCGUGAAUCCCAUGAGGAGGAUUCCCUUUAGGUGUUACUUGCUUGAUCAAAUCCUUCAGUUGAUCUAUGCUACAUCCUUUUGGAAUAUCAAAAUUUUUUGGAUUUAUUCCGGUGAACGCGUAACCCACAAAGUUGUUUUGGCGUGGCAUGUUCCACCUUCCAUUGUAAUACAGAACCGCAUCAUGUGUAGGGAUGCUGGGGAGUUCAAGUAAGUUUAAAAUUGCAUAUGUUGUUAUACCAAUGAUACAUAACAACUCAAUCGGUCCAACAAAUGAAAAUUGAUCAUUAUACAUUAACAUGGUGUUCACAUCCAUGUCAUUUUUCAAUUGCAUACUUUCAAAGUGGAUGUUGUUACCUGUAUCUUCCACUGGUCGCCGGUAAUGAAUUUCAUCCACAACUUGAUUGUUGUUUAGCUGAAGGCUGUUGUGUAUUCUGCUUUUGAGAGUUGAAAAAUCGUAUAGGUUUGGUACUCGCAUGGGCACUGGACUAGAACUUUGAAAAUAAACCCCACACUCGUUGUGAAUGACGGUUCCAUUUGGAAAAAUGAAUGUCAACCUCGAGUUCACGAUCGUCUGGGACGAAGUCUCUCCUAAGAAUGCCAUUGUUUAUCGAAAAUUAAUUUGACAAACUCUGAAUACCAGUUGCUGUUGAGUACCAUGGACAUCCCAAUCUGUCAUUUAUAUAGAUGGCCCAGCCAGCCACAUGGCUUCACUUUUACCAGACCCGUGACUAUUUUACAUUGUGAAGCGUAAAACUAAAGCAACCUCCUUUCACGUCGUUCACUGUCAGGUCACGUCAGUCAUUGUCGUCUGACGUCAUUAACUAUUGUGUAACAUCAAACCCAGUUCACAGAACUACUUAUUUCAUCAAACCUUGCGUGGAAGAGUUAGCAAAAGGAAGGCCCAAAACCCAAAAAAGUUAGUUUCGGGGCAUGUAAAGUUGCCUAAGUACCCCUGUUCAGGGAUUUUUUAAAAUUAUCUGCGAAAGCCGUGAGACUCUCCAAAGGUGGCCUGUCUCAUGUUUGCACGUCAACGAAUCCGAAAACAAUAACAGCAGACACCGGUUCAUUCAAAAAGGGCCUGCAACAGAAGGCCCAAAACUCAAAAAAGUUGGUUUCGGGCCAUGCAAACUUGCCUAACUACCCCUUGUUCGGGGUUUUUUUAAAAUUAUCUGAGAAAGCCAUGAGACUCUCCAAAGGUGGCCUGCCUCAUGUUUACAUGUCAACGAAUCCAAAAAAAAUAACAGCAGACACCGGUUGAUUCGAAAAGGGCCUGCAACAGUAGGCCCAAAACUCAAAAAAGUUGGUUUCGGGCCAUGUAAACUUGCCUAAGUACCCCUGUUCGGGGUUUUUUUUUUUAAAUUAUCUGGGAAAGCCGUGAGACUCUCCAAAGGUGGCCUGACUCAUGUUUGCACGUCAACGAUUCCAAAAAAAAUAACAGUAGACACCGGUUCAUUCGAAAAGGGCCUGCAACAGAAGGCCCAAAACUCAAAAAAGUUAGUUUCGGGCCAACAUUUCCUCUUUAUGGACGACACGUGGCCUGCUACUCUGGCCCUUAUCUGGCAUGUCCAUCUUUCAUGGCGUGACAUUUAAUUCGUCGUAAGAAAAAACUGAAGGACACCUCACUUGUUUCUCUUUCGGCCGCCACCGAUCUUGUUGUCGUCGAAGGCGCCCUUGCGCUUGCCGGCAGAACCUUUUUCGGCAACCUCCUUGUCUUUUCCUUUGGCCUUGUUCGUCCUUUCUACAGAGAAUGCAAUGAGACCAACGCCAAUUGCAUGGUCAGAGUUAGAGAAAUGGAGAGAGGAAGAAGUGUGUGACUGGAGUGUGUGUAACUUUGAAGAACGAGGAGUCCAAAAUGAAUUUUACUGUAAAAAAUUUCAGGAAAAAUGUGACCGACACAUAUCAUGCGGUGCGUAGAAGAAUCGGCCAUUGGUCAACUUCUCAGAGGAAAAAAUCAUUUAACUAGUACAAAAUAAUCUUAAAAUUAACAAAAUAAUUUAACUAAGUAACCCAUGAAAGAACCUUCUUCCGUGGGACUCCACGGAAGAACCUUCUUCCAUUGAGUCCCACGGAAGAAGGUUCUUCCGCAGUUCCACGGAAGAUUUCUUCCGCCCCUGUCAACGGAACAAGUUUGCAAAAAAGCAUGAAGAGCAUUUUUGGGAAUUUUAAAAUUUGCUGGGUGCCCCUAGCAAAUCCCCCAACAAAAGCUUCGGCUCUGUUGAACAAGCCCAUGGAUCAAGAGCAUAUCAAGCCCAUAACCCAACCCAUAACAAAUAAGGGUGUUACUUGGUGCACCCAACAUUUUUGCUGGGGCACCCAGCACCCAUGGUGAAAUGGAAAAAUUUCCCUUCAUCCUAAUAUUAUAAAAACUCCUAGUUUUUUGUCCGUACGCUGCUUCUUCGUCUCCUACACUACUUCUUCUCCUCCUACGCUGCUUCUUCGUCUUCCUCUUCCUCUGUCAUCUUCGUCUUCCUCUUCCACUUCCUCUAUUGGUGCUUAUUGGUUGUUCCUCUUCCUCUAUCACCGUUGGUGCUUGAUCCUCUUCAUCUUCCGCUGUGCACCUCUUCGUCUAUGUUAGGAGUCCAUUGAUGAGAAGGGGCUGGGGAAAGCUUGAACCCAAUUCCUACAGUGAUGAAUAAAAGUGAAAUUAAAAUUCCUAGGGAAUUAUACAUUUGUGUAUUGAUAAACCAUGAACCAGAAUAGAUCCCGUGUCGCCGUUCUUCUUCUUUGUCUCCAACAAAAAAAUGACAUUUUUCUAGAAAAAUCCAUACGGAUCAGCGAUCCGUACGGAUUGCUAAUCCAUAUGAGUUUUUUUUUGUUGAAUAAUUUAAAAUUUAAGAUUGGAUUGCUAAAAUUAAGAUACGUUUUUUUUAAAAUAUAUUAGUUAUUACUAAGAUUAGAUUAGAUUGCUAAAAUUAAGAUUAGAUUGGUGAAACAAUUAAUUUUCAAUAUUGUUAUAAAAAAAUAUGGAAACCAAAAUUUAAAAUAUAAUCAGAUUGUUAGUUUAAGAUAAUGAUUUAGUAGUUAUAAAAAAUAUAUUAAAAAUAUUGAAACCAAAAUUGUUAUAUAAUUGAUUUAGUAGUUAUAAAAAAUAUUGAAACCAAAAUAUAUAAUUGAUUUAGUAGUUAUAAAAAAUAUUGAAACCAAAAUUUAAAAUAUGAUAAGAUUGUUAGUUUAAGAUAAUGAUUGAAAUCAAAUUUAAAAAUAUAUUAGUUAUUAAUAAGAUUGUAUUAGAUUGCUAAAAUUAAGAGUAAAUUGGUGAAGCAAUUAAUUUUCAAUAUUGUUAUAAAAAAUAUGGAAACCAAAAUUUAAGAUAUAAUCAGAUUGUUAGUUUAAGAUAAUGAUUUAGUAGUUAUAAAAUAUAUUAAAAAUAUGAAAACCAAUAUUGUUAUAUAUUUGAUUUUAUAGUUAUAAAAAAUAUUGAAACCAAAAUUUAAAAUAUGAUAAGAUUGUUAGUUUAAGAUAAUGAUUGAAAUCAAAUUUAAAAAUAUAUUUGAUUUUGUAAUUAUAAAAAAUAUUGAAACCAAAAUUUAAAAUUUAAAAUAUGAUAAGAUUGUUAGUUUAAGAUAAUGAUUGAAAUCAAAUUUAAAAAUAUAUUAAAUUUGGUAGUUAUAAAAAAUAUAGAAACCAAAAUUUAAGAUUUAAAAUUUAUUAUGAAUCCAUAUGUUUUAAUUUUUUAAAAAUUAUUUUUUUAGAAAUUUUUUAUUCAUUUAAUUUAUUUACAAAAUUUAAUAAUUAAAAAAAUUUGAUAUUUAAUUGAAUGAUGUAUUUAAAUAUUUAUUAUACUGAUUAAAAAUUAAAUAAAUAUGAUAUUUAAUUGAAUGAUGUAUUUAGAUGUUUUUAAUAGCAAUUGAUAAUUAAAUAAAUUUGAUAUUUUUUACAUAUGUAAAUACUUAUUAAACCUACCAUUUUUAUUUAUAAUUUAUAUAUAUAAAAAAAAUUAAUUAAUAUAUAAAAAAUAAUCAUCACAAAAUUUAUUAUGUAAAUUUACAUAUACAUUAAAUAUAAAUUAGAAAUUUUAGUGUUAUAUAUAACGACACUAUUUGCUUAUAACAUAAUGCGUCUAUUAGCUCGUUUAGUUUGAGUAUUCUAUUAAUAAUGCAAGUGAUACAAGUUUGAUUCCUUCUUGGACCAUUAAUUUUAAAUUAAAUCGUAAAUUAUAUUUUUUUAAAAAAAAUUAAAAAAAAUCUUAUGGGUCACGUACGGAUUGACAAUCCAUGGAUGUAUGAUCAUACGGAUUGGUCAUACGGAUUAUUAAUCCAUAUGUGCAUACCAUUUUUUUUUGUUACCUUUCCUUUUCUGACGAUGAAAACCGACCAAAAAUCACCGUAUACUCUUGACAAACGUACGUACACCACCGGAGACUAAAUACACUUCCAAACCACCCUUAACGGAAGCAAAUUACACUAAGUGACAGAAAUUUUACAAAAAAAAAUGAUGCUGUAGAAAUGAAAAAAUCAUGCUGCUAUUUGUAACCGAAAAUACCAUAAGAGUAUUUUUGGUAUUUUGAUAAAAUUACUGGAUGCCCCAACAAAAAUGCUGGUGCCUCAAGCAUUCCCAACAAAUAAUCAAUGUGUACAUAGAUGGUCUAUGGGAGGAAGGGAUGUGCGGCCUAAUGAAGGAAUGCUAGGUAAUGCUUGAGCAGCAUUCUAUAAUAGGUGCAGGGGGAGUGUGGGAAAACCAAUUAGUAUAGUCAUUUUGGGGAUUAGGAACUUGUUCCUCCGGGUAGCAGGUAAAUUCCUCUGGUUGUGUAGCUGUUUUGGGUCCAUCUCUUAAUACCUUAUAGUUUGCGUUUUGAUUUUCAAUCUAUCAAAAUGAUUUAGUGGCAGCAACUCGAUAAAAUAGAAGGGUGGAAUCUGUUGAGGUGAGAAAGGAUCAGUUAAGGCAUUAUGGAGGAUGCAAUGAGGGGAGCCCAUUAGAACGUUAGGCUAUCUAUCUUAAAACAAGAUGGAAGUAUGGAGGAUUAUGUGAUAUGUUUUAAAGUCUUGAUAUGGAGUUGCCAAAACACUAGGUUCUGAGUUAUUUACUUGGGGGAUUAAAAGAGGACAUUAAGACAAGGAUCAUAACAUACCAACAUUGUUGAAUAAUGCAGGCUAUUGAGCUGGCGAGGAGCAUUGAAAAGGAAUAGCGUGUGAAGUGAGGAUGUUCAACGCCAAUGAAACUGCUGACAAUUGGGCACUCAGUAAGAAGAUUGGGCUAUUCUAUUUGUGUUCAUACUCAUACUCACGCAGGCAAUUGGAUCUUUUAGUGGGAAGUUGGGCCUUGGGUCAAUGCUGCAAGGAACCUCCAUGCCCAACACAACUUGACCCAGCUCUAUAUCAUAACUGCAAAGUUCCUCAACCUAGAAGUGCACUAUUGUUGACAGCAUCCACUAAGCCUCCAAUCCAUUUAAUAGGAACAAAGGCAUAAAGCACGUUCCCUACACUAACUAAAUGAAAUGCAAUGGGUUCUGUUUCAGACAUGGGGAUGCGUACACCCUGUACAUCAAUACCAAGAGAGAAGUCUGCGAUAGAACAACCUAGUAAAAGAGAGGGAAUAGUGAAGAACGCUUAAACCCUUAUGAACCCCACAUUGGAAUUACAUACUUCCGAUAUGGGACUGUACCUUGCAAUUGAAUCCUAACAAGCUGACAAUCAUGUUGUUAUGCAAAGAUGAAGAGGGAACUAGGAAGCAAAAACCCCAACAAGGACACCAGACAAGAUGCAAAAACAAACACUUUGAGAUUGGGACAUUAUGCAUGUGCUCUCAUGCAUGCAUGUGUAAGUGAGAGAAAGAGAAUCAAACGAAAUUAAAUUUUGACAUCAUGACAAUAGAUCUAAAUUGAGAAUCAAGAUUGUAUAUUCACCUUCUCAAAAUAAAUUGUUAAGCCUUUACAUUUUUCUUAUGAUAACAACAACAACAACAACAACGCCUUAUCCCACUAGGUGGGGUCGGCUACAUGGAUCAACUUCCGCCAUAAUGUUCUAUCAAGUACCAUACUUCUAUCCAAACCAUUAAUUUUGAGAUCCUUUUUGAUAACCUCUCUUAUAGUCUUUUUGGGUCUUCCUCUGCCUCGAAUUGUUUGUCUUCUCUCCAUCUGGUCUACUCUCCUCACUACAGAGUCUACCGGUCUUCUCUCUACAUGCCCAAACCACCUAAGUCUAUUUUCCACCAUCUUCUCUACAAUAGGCGCUACUCCAACCCUCUCUCUAAUAGCUUCGUUUCUAAUUUUAUCCUGUCGAGUCUUACCACACAUCCACCGCAACAUCCUCAUCUCCGCUACACCUACUUUAUUCUCAUGUUGGCUCUUGACCGCCCAACAUUCUGUUCCGUACAAAAUCGCCGGUCUUACCGCAGUCCGAUAAAACUUUCCCUUUAGCUUGAUCGGUACCUUUGCAUCACAUAACACCCCCGAUGCUUUUCUCCAUUUCAUCCAUCCUGCUUGAAUGCGAUGAUUCACAUCCCCUUCAAUUUCCCCAUCAUCCUGUAUUACAGACCCAAGAUAUUUAAACCGUAUGACUUGAGGGAUAAUAUGGUCUCCUAUUUUCACCUCUGAGUUAGAAACCCUCCUUCUUUUGUUGAACUUACAUUCCAUAUACUCCGAUUUGCUUCUGCUUAGGCGAAAGCCAUGUGUUUCUAGAGCUCGUCUCCAAGUUUCCAACCUCUCAUUCAACUCCUCCCUCGACUCUCCAAGGAGGACUAUGUCAUCUGCAAAAAGCAUGCAUCUCGGCGCUAUCUCUUGGAUUUGUUCCGUGAGGACAUCCAGAAUUAAGGUAAAAAGGUAGGGGCUAAGGGUUGACCCUUGAUGUAAACCAAUUGUGAUGGGAAAAUCGUCUGACUCUCCACCCUGUGUCCUAACACUAGUCGAUACCCUAUCAUACAUAUCUUGGAUAGCUCGAAUAUAUGCAACCCUAACCCCUUUCUUCUCUAGAGCUUUCCACAAAAUCUCUCUAGGCACUCUAUCAUACGCUUUCUCCAAGUCAAUAAAAAUCAAGUGCAAGUCUUGUUGGGCCAUGCGAUAUUGCUCCAUCACCCGCCGUAAUAAAUAAAUCGCUUCCAUGGUCGACCUUCCCGGCAUGAAACCAAAUUGAUUCUCAGUAACUUGAGUCUCCUUUCUUAAUCUCCGUUCGAUCACUCUUUCCCGUAAUUUCAUGGUAUGACUCAUGAGCUUGAUUCCCCUAUAAUUUGCACAAUUUUGUAUAUCCCCAUUGUUCUUAUAGAUUGGCACUAACGUGCUUCUCCUCCAUUCCUCCGGCAUGCGUUUUGACCUCAUAAUUUCGUUAAAGAGUUCGGUGAGCCACUCAAGACCUCUAUCUCCAAGAGUUUUCCACACUUCAAUAGGUAUGUGGUCUAGCCCCACCGCCUUACCAUUACUCAUUCUUUUCAACGCUUCCUUUACUUCCUAUUUCUGAAUCCGACGAUAGUACUUAUAGUUCCGGUCCUCUUCUCUUGUGUCUAGACUGCUAGAGUCAUAUCCAUAUCCAUCAUUAAAUAAGUUGUGGAAAUACGUCUUCCACCUUUCCUUGAUAUCUUUUUCAUGCACUAAGACUUUGCUUUCUUCAUCCUUAACACACUUUACUUGAUCCAAAUCUCUAGUCUUCCUCUCUCUACCCUUAGCAAGCCUAUAUAUAGAUCUUUCUCCGUCCCUGGUUCCUAGAGCUUGGUAUAGUCCGUCAAAAGCUUGGGCUCUUGCCUCACUCACCGCCUUUUUGGUUUCAUUUCUAGCUAUCUUAUACUUAUCCCAAGUUUCAGAAUUUCUACACCUAGACCACUCCUUGAAACACUCCUUUUUUACUCUAACUUUGCUCUGAACAUUUUCAUUCCACCACCACGAUUCUUUACCCCUAGGUCCAAAACCUCUAGAUUCACCCAACGUCUCUUUAGCCACUUUAAUAAUCUUUUGAGACAUCUUGUUCCACAUAUCAUUUGCACUUCCUUGUGAUUGUCCACACCAACCCUCCCAUAUCUUUUGUUGGAAGAUUCCUUGUUUCUCACCCUUCAAGUGCCACCAUUUGAUCCUUGGUGCUACCAGAGGACUUCUUCUCUUUGCCCUAUCUCUAAUUCUUACAUCCAUAACCAAAACUCUAUGUUGGGUAGUCAAGCUCUCUCCCGGGAUAACUUUACAGUUCAAGCAAUACUUCCUAUCAGACUUCCUGAUAAGGAAGAAAUCUAUCUAAGAACAUGUCCCUCCACUUUUGUAAGUGAUAAGAUGUUCCUCUCUUUUCUUAAACCAUGUAUUGGCUAUAGAAAGAUCCAAAGCCUCUGAAAACUCCAAGAUGGAUUUACCCUCCCCAUUCAUCUCUCCUAGGCCAAAACCCCCAUGCACCCCCUCAAAACCUCUAGCCACGCUACCUACAUGUCCAUUGAGAUCCCCUCCUAGGAAAACUUUCUCUCCUUAGGGUAUAUCCUGAAGUACCCCUUCUAGAUCCUCCCAAAAUUUUACCUUAAAGUGUUCUACUAACCCAACCUGAGGUGCGUACCCACUAAUAACAUUAAAGGUGUCCUGUCCCACUACCAAUUUUAAGACUAUGAUACGAUCUCCUACUCUUCUUACAUCCACGACAUCCUUCUUCCACUCCUUGUCCACAAUAAUCCCUACCCCAUUUCUUGAUCUGAUUUUUCCCGUAUACCACAGCUUAAAUCCCGAGUUGUCUAAUUCUUUCGCUUUUUCACCUGUCCACUUAGUUUCUUGUAGGCACAUAAAAUUGAUCUUCCUCCUCACCAUAACAUCCACUAUUUCCAUAGAUUUUCCAGUAAGUGUGCCUAUAUUCCAUGUACCAAAGCGAAUCCUCCUGUCAUGAACUAGCUUCUUUACCCACACCCGUUCACGAAAAUGUGGGAACCCUUGCUUACUUUUCACUACAUCCGGGCGGCGAUGCAGCGGCCCUUGCUCUUUUGACACUGUACUCGAGCCAUACAGCGCGUUGCUUCCGGGCAACGACCUAGCAUUCACAUUAUUACGUAAUUGAUCCAUGUCAUAGAGAUUCGACAAAGUUUAACGUUGGCUGUCGAAAGCCUAACACAACCCUCUCCUUUUAUCCGGGCUUGGGACCGGCUAAGAAUAGCAAAGCUACCCUAGGCAGGAUUUUUUCUUAUGAUAACAAACCUCACAAAAAAGUACUAAGUUGAAUCAAUGUAAGCACUUUAUUUCUUUAUAAAGAAAUCCCAAAACAAGAUAAAAUUUAUCUUUCAGAAAAGGUAUAUUCACCUUCUCAAAAUAACUUGCUAAGGUUCUCAUUUUUCCUAUGACAAUGGGCCUCACAACUUCUCUCAAGGAAGGAUCAAGGAUACAAGGAGCAAUGUGAGCUUUACCCAAGACCCUUGCAUGGUACAUGUCCUGAAUAUCUUAUAGGGGUAUUUUCCUAAAUGGGUUAAAGGAAGAGUCAAGGGUGAAUUGAAAGGUGCCUAGUGGAAUACCAAAGAUGAUGAAUUAUGCCCUGUAGAAAGAUGAUAGGAGUUGGAUAUUAAAUGGGGGGAUUUUCAGGCAGUGAAGGAAGGGCUAUAUAUAGAAGUUACACAUCAUACAAAACAACAUAUGAAUUGCUUUCUGGGAAACUUGUAGGAACCAACCCAAAAGAAGGUUCAGUGAUGAAUUCUGCAACUGGCAGAAACAAAUGGUACUUUGACAAGCCAAGAGAGUUUAAGAGAUAUGUUGAUGCAUAAAUGCAGUUGAAUUUCAUCUUGAUGACAAGGUCAAACUUUUGGUAGUGGGGAGUGUUGUUUGAGAUCAUGAUAAUUAUAAAGGGAGAGGGGACAAUUCACAUGUAUAAUUAAAAAUAAAAAGGAAGAUGGAGAGUUAGCUAGGAUAGUUAUAUGAUUUGGUUUUGUUUGAAGGCUUUCGCUUAGUUUGUUUCACUUAUUUGGUUUUUCUUUCGUGUUAAUUAGUGACAGGAUAUUUAACUAAGAUCAGUUGUGGACUUCUCAGUCCCAACUUUGACUAGUUCCAUUUAUGUAUUCAACUAUCAAAGAAUCAACCAAUCUAAAAGAGAUUCAAAAAUAUUCACAUAUUAAUAAGUUAGAGAUAACAUAUCAGUUAGGGAGAUUGGUUGCUAAUGGCUGAGUGUCUGUGCUCCUGUUGCAGGGCUGACAUGGAGGAUUGACAUGUGCCUUAGAGUGCCAUGUAGGGUGCCACGUGUAUUUUGUGGACCAUGGAUAGUACAUCAGCCCCCCAAGCUCUGAGUUGGCUUGUGGGCAAAAGAGAUUUUCUGGUGUCGAAGAAAAGUAUUUGAUGUUUGUGGUUGUUGUCUUGACAAGUAGAGAGCGACUAGUUUGUCGAGCCCCCAAGUGUGGACGAGUGUUUGUCCGAUGUUGGGUGUGGUAACCUCGACAGGUGAGAGAAUUUCAGGUCGAUGUGGCUUGUCAAGCCCCCGAGCCUAGACAAGUGUUGUCUAGACAGCUUCUAUCAAGUUGUCUGGGAUGGACAUGUCUUUGACGUGUCAGGUGAGGAAAGUCUAUAGAUUUGAUAAUUUUACCCUUUUCUGACCGUUGGAAGGGUGCAUUGAAGACAUACAUUAUGUUUUGUCUGCUGCUACAAGCAUCUGCGGCACACAUGCAGUACUCUUGCAUACGUGUCACUCAUGGAGUGGGUACCUACUGGAGUUGUGAUGCGUGGGUGAGUGGGGGUGCAUCGUGGUGCGAAAAUUUAGGGCACCACUUAUGCUCCCACCAGUUACCGAAAAGUUUGUCUUCCUUUCAAAUGGAGUGAACAUUUGAUUUUGGGUCACCGUUACUUUGAGCUAUUGUUUCCUUGCCUUCUGCUUGCGAUCCCUUUUCUUUUUCCUUCACUUUCUUGCGAUCCAUUUUCUUCUUCCUUCACCUCUACGAUGAGUGUCGCUGCUCUUUAACGUUAGGUGAUGCUGGCAAGCCUUGAGAACUCUUGCAAGAUAGUCGUUCAAGCUUGCGGGAGUGAUGACUUUCCCUUCUUGAGGGCGACGUCGAGUAGUCCCCCCUUCUUCUUUAUUUAUAGGUGUCUGUUAGAGGUCUUGGGUCUCAUUCUCCUCUUGACCACUUUCUAGUGUGCUCUACUUGAGCACUUGAAUGUGGUUCCUUCUCAGCUCCACCCAAACAAUUGGGCAAUGGUGAGAGCUUUUGAAAUUUUAUGCCUUUUCUUCAACAUCCAGCCUAUUGUACCAGUCUUUUUGUUUUUCUUUCAAAUGAAACUAACUAGCAAGAUUGAUUGGGUCUUAUUGAAAAACAUGUCCAAGAAGUUAUUUGAGUUCGACUCAAACAUCUUUCGCCGCUUUAAGGAUCGUUUCUUUAAGGUCGUGGUUAAUGGUUUGCCACUAAUGUUCAAUAAGGAUGGGGAGUCCCACUUCCCGUUCUACUGGCAGUUUAACCCUACCAGGCUCAAGUCAUUUGAUGAAGAUCUGUUGACCCUUGUGGAGAGGUUCGACAAGGCUAUUUUGGAGCAAUUGUCGGUCUCGCUGGACUCGCAGGCCAUUCUGUCACUUUCCUCAGUGAACGUCCCCAUGCUGCCUUGGACUGUAAAGUGCUUAACCUUGUCCUUUUUUGUGUUUGAGGUUGGUGUUGGCCAAAACUAACACUUGCUUGUGAUGUUGUUGCUUAUUUUGCAGGUAUUAUGGGUGACUUUGCUUGGAGGCAACUCAUGAAGCAGGUGUUAGUCGCUAUUCAUGGUUUUUUUUUUUGUAGGAAUUGUACAUAUUUUUAUGUUUAAUGUGAUUUUAUAGAGUAGAUACUCUCAUUCUGUGAAUUAAUGUUAAAUCCAACUCAAUUUUAGGCCAAAGAAAAGAAGGUUCAAGUAGCUUAUGACUCGCUUAGCAAGGCAGAUCCGCUCAGCGAGUGACAUCUGCUUAGCGAGGCAUACAACUUGCUUAACGGGUUGGGAAACCCUAGAAGAGGAUCAAUCAAAGAUGUGCUCACCCAGCGCACAGCCAGCUCGCCCAGCGAGGACGUUGUCUCUGUUGGCGCUCAUCGCGCCCAGUCUCGCUAAGCCAAAAUUCACUUACUCUCGCUUAGCGAGCCUUCGGAAGCUGAAAAGUCUAAGAGCCUUUAUAACACUGAGGUUGGCAAAAUUUCAUGGGAGAGAGUUUAGAGAGCGCAUUUUUUGAAGAACAGAAGACAGAAAGAGAGUAGCAAAGAGAGCUUAGGUUAGAAGGAGUGAAGUUUAAGGGUUUAAAGGUUGUAGGAGACAUCCUCAACCAUCUUUUGCCAUUUUCUUUCACUCGAAGCUAUUCCUUCCUUGUAUUGUGAGAUUGCAUUGCUUGUAAUGGAAGGCUAAUCCUCUUUGUUGGGGAGUUCUGCUGAAAAACCUUGAUGUAACAUUCUUACACUAUCUAUUUAAUGUUAUUUUUAUGUGUUCAUUGCUUCUAUCUAUGCUUAUUUUACAUGCUUGUGGCUUGAUCAUCCAUUUGUAUGUACAGUUAGGAUUUUUAGCAUUGGGAAAUGCUUUAAAGCCUUAGAACUUGGUAGAGCAAUUUAGAAAUCUAUAUGUCUAGGAAUGGAGUGCAGUGAUCUAGUCCAUAUUAUGCUGUAGGCUUAAUGCAACUCUUUUAGACUAAGUUUGUUGAGGGAUUAAAGACGAAGUUUAAAGAGAGUUAGGCUCAUUCACUAGAGGGAUCUUGGUUUGAGUAGGUUCUCAGCAUAAGAACACUAGGAUAAUGUUAAAUAGAGAAAAAUAUGUAUUAAACAUUAAGGGAAAUUCAGUAGAACAACUCAAGGCUUUUUACUUGAUAGUUUUCACCUUCAUGAUUUUAGAUAUUUAGUUUAUGUUCAAAUAGAUUUUAGUACAGAAUCCAACUUGAUAUUUACCUUGUUUUUAAUCCCUACAAAUGUUUGCAUACUGAAUGUACAAUGUCUGAGUGAAACAAAUUCCCUGAGGAUACGAUACUCGGUCUUACCGUUUUGUACUACUUGAGCGAAUCGGUACACUUGCCGACUAGCGAACAGCAGGUCGAACCUGUGGGUGAGACUGUGUCACCGUUUUCUACUAUUCCUAUUGUUGGAGAAAAAGGUCAACCUAUUGGUAAGGUUGUCCCUAUUGCUGCUCUGAGGUCACCUCUGGUGCCUCUUCUUUUGUUUUGGCAAAGAGAAAAUAAGAUGACGGUGUUGGGCCGUCUGGCCAAAAAAAGUCGAAGACCUAUAUGAACCUUCGAGCCCUGAGGCAGGCUGUAGGGUUGGCGCUCGAUGUGGGUCACCCUUCAAUUAUGCAGGGUGUGCCUCCGGCUUCAUCGACCAUCGAGGUUCCUAUUGUUGAUGCUGCUACUCCUAUUCCUUCAUCUCAUUCUGUCGUGGUUGUUCGGGAGACUGCUUGUUAGUCGUCAUUUACAACUAACUUUUGUAUUGAAAAGCUUCAUGAAAUUUAUAUCUUUUCCCCAAUUUAUGGUUCUUUUUGUAGGUUUGUACAUAUUUUUUGUUUAGUUUAAUUUUACUAAGUAGAUACUCCCAAUAUUAUGAAUUAAUGUGGUUCAACUUCAGUUUCAGGCUAAAGGAUGAAGAAGAAGAAGGUUGAAGAAGUUGUUGUCUCGCUAAGCGAGGCAUAUGUGCUUAGUGAGUAAUAUUCGCUAAGCGAGACAUUCAGCUCGCUUAACGAGUGGGAAGAAUUUGGAAGAGAAUCUUUAGCUCGCUCAACGAGUCAUUUGUCUUUUCUCUUGCUCAGCACGCCCAACUCGCUGAGCGAAAAUCCACUAACUCGCGCUUAGCAGGAAAAUGGCACUAAGUGAGCCUUCAGAAUCAAAAAGCCCUUAAAAGACUAAAGUUGGCAAAAAAAAUAAGGGGAGUUCAGUGAGUUUUUGUGAAGAGAGACGUAACAGAGCAAGAGAGAAAAACUUGAACGAAAGGCCUCAACUUUCAAGAAGAUUUUAGGUUUAGGAGUGAUUGUUAGGUUUCUAGAGGUGGAGGAGACAUCCCCACAACUUUGUAAUCUUAAUUUUCCCUCAAAAACUUUAUCUUGGUGCGGAAAGGUGCUAACAUGCAAUGGAAGGCUAAUUCUCUUGUUGGGAAUUUCUGCUUAGCUUUGAUGUAAAACUUUUCACUAUCUAUUUAAAGUUGUUUUUAUGUGUUCAUUGCUUCUAUCUGUAUGUAAUUCUUGCGUGCUUGUGGCUUGAUCAUCCAUUUGUGUGUAAAGUUAGGAUUUUUAGCAUUGGAAAGUGUUUUAAAUCAUUAGAACUUGAUAGAGCAGGCUAGAGAACUGUAUGUCUGGACACGGAAUGCAGGGAUUUAGUUUAUAAUAUGUCGUAAUCUUAAUGCAAAUCAUUUAGGCUAAGUUUGACGAGGAAUCUAGAACGAAUCUUAAAUAGAAUUAGACUCAUUCACUAGAGGGAUAUUGGUUUGAGUAGUCAUUUUCGGCAUAGAACACAGAAACAACCUUAAAUAGAGAAAAACACUUAAUUACGUCAUUUUGUUCAGUAGAAGGACCCAACGUUUGAAUCAUCUGUUUAUCUCUCACAUUUAGAUAGUUAAUUUUGUAGUUAAAUUAGAACUAUAGACAUAACUUCUCUUUAUAUUUACUAGCUUUAUACAAAUGCUUACCUACUGAAUGAAUGCUCCCUAAAUGAAACAAGUUCCCUAUGGACUCGACACUCGGUCUUACCAUUCUAUAUAUUACUUGUGCGACUCGGUGCACUUGCCGAUUAGCAUCACUGACCAGUGAAACAAGUAUUUUAGCGAGAAGCGAACAAAGUUUUUGGCGCCGUUGCCGGGGAACUUCUUUCCAUUUGGGAAGUAUAGUUCAGUUUGUAGGCAUUGAUUCUUUAUUCUUUGAUUAAUUUUUGUGUGAAUAGUUAGCUGAAAUUUAUUUUUCUCUUGAUUAGGUUGACUGCUGCUCUUGUUAGUGUUUUGUAUGCGAGGUAACCCUUCUACAGGUGAUUUAGCUUCAUUGGAUUUGGAGAUAGAAGCCACUUGUAGGAGGAACAACAUAGAUAGAAGAAGGAAAAUACUGCAGGACAAGACAACACCACCAAUUCCAGAGGAACCUCAAUCAUUUGAGUCGUCUUCUAUUUUUCCAGAGCCAAGAGAAUUAGAAAUAGGUGCAUCUGAGGCUAACAUAAUGGUUGAAGAUCAAUCUAGGAGGGUUACCCUUGAAGAUUACUCUAGCUCGACUAUGCCACAAUUCUUCAUAAAUAUAGUGUGGCCAAAAGUUCAAGCACACAACAUUACAUACCCUCACUCCUUAAUACAGUUAAUUCAGGGAAAUCUAUUUCAUGGCUUGCCGAACGAAGACACAUAUGCACACUUGGCAACAUACAUUGAGAUUUGCAAUACAUUCAAGUUUGUCGGUGUUCUUGAGGACGCAGUGAGGCUGAGUUUGUUAUCUUUUUCAUUGUUUGGAGAAGCAAAGAGAUGGUUACAUUCAUUUAAGGGAAACAGUCUAAAGACUUGGGAUGAAGUGGUGGAGAAAUUUUUGAAGAAAUAUUUCCCUGAGUCUAAGAUAGUUGAAGGAAAAGCAGCCAUCUCUUCAUUUCACCAGUUUCCGGAUGAGUCUCUAAGCGAAGCACUUGAACGAUUCCGUAGCCUGCUGCGGAAAACACCGACUCAUAGAUUCUCAGAACCAAUUCAGCUCAAUAUUUUUAUAAAUGGGUUAAGGCUGCAGUCCAAUCAACUGUUGGAUGCUUUUGCUGGGGGGAAGAUCAAAUUGAAGACCCCGGAAGAAGCCAUGGAACUCAUUGAAAACAUGGCUACAAGUGAUCAUGCCAUCUUGCGUGAUUGGACUCACAUUCCAACAAAGAGAAGCCUGCUGGAGCUUUCCUCUUAAGAUGCAUUAUUGGCACAAAACAAGUUGUUGUCUAAGCAGCUUGGACAUUGACAGAAACAUUGAGUAAGUUGCCUAAUCAAUUACAGGUUAAUCAACCUUCACAUUCAGUUGUUUUGCAGGUUGGAGGUUGCAGCAUAUGCGGAGGAGCUCAUGAAUCUGGACGCUGUAUUCCCCUGGAUGACACAUCCUAAGAGGUAAAUUACAUGGGAAACCAAAAUAGGCCAGGAUUUAAUGCAGGUGGAUAUGCAGGUUACCAACAAGGUUCCAAUUAUUACCAACAACCUUGGAAAUCAGUUCAACAAGGACCAAGGCGGAUCAUCUAAUAGGCCUCAGAACCAAGGGCCUAGCCUCUAUGAUAGAACCACCAAACUGGAGGAGACUUUAGCUCAAUUUAUGCAGGUUACAAUGUCAAAUCAUAAGAGCACCGAGUCUGCCAUUAAAAACCUGGAGAUUCAAGUGGGGCAGCUAGUCAAGCGAAUAACAGAGAAUUCUUCUAGCAAUUUUGGAGCAAACACUGAGAAGAAUCCAAAGGAAGAAUGCAAAGCUAUCAUGACGAGGAGCAGAAAGGAAAACCUGGUUGAGGAUGAGGGAAGGAUUAGUGACAAGCAAGAGCUUGUGAUUGAAGAAGGAGAAAAAGAGGAAGAAGAGGAUCAGUUGAUGGAGAACAAAAUAUAUGAUUGUGAGAAAUAAAUAAAUAAAGAAAAAGAAAAAGAAAAAGAAAAAAAAUGAAAAAAAUAGAGAAAGUGAGGGAGAAAGGAAGACAAAGAGUGAGCUUGCAAGAGAAAAGAAGAAAGAGGUUGUCUCAUGUACUGGGAAGGAAGCACCAUACCCUCUGGUGUCAUCAAAGAAAGAAAAGGAGCGACAUCUGGCUUGUUUCCUUGACAUCUUCAAGAAAUUGGAGAUAACCAUUCCCUUUGGAGAAGCCCUAUAGCAAAUGCCACUCUAUUCUAAGUUUUUGAAAGAUCUGCUGACCAGAAAGAGCAAAUACAUCCAUAGUGAUAACAUUGUGGUGGAAGGGAACUGUAGUGCGGUGAUUCAAAGAAUCCUUCCACCUAAGCAUAAGGAUCCUGGGAGUGUUACUAUUCCUUGCUCUAUUUGUUCGGUGUCGUUUGGUAAAACUCUCGUUGAUUUGGGGUCCAUUAUAAAUUUGAUGUCUCUCUCCAUGUGCAGCAAAAUUGGAGAGUUGGAGAUUAUGCCAACUACAAUGACACCACAACUUGCAGAUCGGUCUAUUACAAGGCCUUAUAGCGUAAUUGAAGAUGUUUUGGUUAAGGUGCAGCAUUUUACUUUCCCUGCGGAUUUUAUUCUGAUGGAUAUUGAAGAGGACGCUGAAAUUCCCUUAAUUUUGGGUUAUCCCUUCAUGUUAAUCGCCGAUUGUGUGGUGGAUAUGGGAAAGGGUAAGCUAGAAAUGAGCAUGGAUGACCAAAAAGUCACAUUUAACUUAUUUGAGGCAAUGAAGCACCCAGAUGAUCACAAGGCCUGUUUUAAAGUAGAAAAAGUGGAACAUGAGAUAGAUAUGGUAGCUAGAGCCAUGGUACUGUAGUCCCUACUUGAAAAAGCAUUGAAUAACACUAUAGAAGGUCUGACAAUAGAAGAAGAAAAAGAAGUGCAGACCUAUUUGGAGGAAUUAGAAGGUGUAAAGAAGGACAAUCCAGCGAAAAAGGAUAAAGUGGAGUUGAAGACCCUUCCUGAACACCUGAUGUAUGUAUUUAUAGGAGAAAAUGAAACCAAUCCGGUGAUCAUCAGCAGUUCUUUGAGGAAGGAAGAGGAGGCUCAGCUGGUGAAGGUUUUGAAGAAACAUAAGGCAGCCAUUGGAUGACACAUUUCUGACUUGAAAGGAAUCAACCCAUUUUACUGUAUGCAUAAGAUCAAUAUGGAAGCUGACUAUAAGCCUGUAAGACAGCCACAAAGAAGACUUGAUCUAGUUAUGAAAGAGUAAAUGAGGAAGGAAGUGCUUAAAUUGCUAGAAGCAGGGCUCAUUUAUCCCAUGUUAGAUAGUUCUUGGGUUAGUCCUGUGCAGGUGGUUCCCAAGAAAGGAGGCAUGACAGUUAUUAGGAAUGAGAAGAAUGAUUUAAUUUCCACAAGAACUAUCAUUGGCUGGAGGAUGUGUAUUGACUACAGAAAAUUGAAUGACGCCACCAGAAAAGAUCACUACCCACUUCCAUUCAUGGAUCAAAUGCUUGAGAGGCUAGCAAGGCAAUCAUUAUAUUGCUUUUUAGAUGGAUAUUUUGGCUACAAUUAAAUUGCAGUAAACGUAAUGACCAAGAGAAGACAAUAUUUACCUUCCCCUUUGGUGUGUUUGCCUAUAAGCGAAUGCCUUUUGGCCUUUUCAAUGCUCCUGCAACUUUUCAAAGUGUAUGAUGGCAAUCUUUGCCGACAUGGUGGAGAAAUGUAUAGAAGUAUUUAUGGACGACUUCUCUGUCUUUGGCUCCUCUUUUAACUGUUGUCUAUCCAAUCUAGAGAGAGUAUUGCAAUGGUGUGAAGAAACCAACUUGGUGCUUAAUUGGGAAAAAUGUCAUUUUAUGGUGCAAGAAGGCAUUGUGUUUGGUCAUAAAAUUUCUGCAAGGGGGAUUGAAGUAGAUAAAGCAAAGACUCAUGUGAUCAAGAAGCUGCCCCCUCCGGUAAAUGUUAAGGGAGUAAGAUGUUUUCUUGGGCAUGUUGGGUUCUAUAGGCGAUUUAUAAAGGAUUUCUCAAAGAUUGCCAAACCGCUCAGCAAUUUGCUUAACAAGGAUGCUGUGUUUUUGUUUAAUGAAGAUUGUUUGAAAGCAUUCAACACUCUCAAGACUAGUCUAGUGUCCGCUCCCAUCAUUACAGCGCCUAAUUGGGGCCAAGAAUUUGAGCUAAUGUGUGAUGCAAGUGAUUAUGUUGUAGGUGUUGUCUUGGGCCAGAGGAAAGGCAAAGUAUUCCAUGCUAUUUACUAUGCUAGCAAAGUUUUGAAUGAUGCUCAGAUCAAUUAUGCUACCAUAGAGAAAGAAAUGUUAGCAAUAGUUUAUGCAUUGGAGAAAUUCAGGUUAUACUUGGUGGGAUCGAAAGUUAUCAUCUAUACUGAUCAUGCAGCCAUCAAGUAUUUGCUAAAUAAAGCUGAUUCCAAGCCUCGGUUAAUUAGAUGGAUUUUAUUACUUCAGGAGUUCGAUCUAGUUAUCAAAGACAAGAAAGGCUCUACAAAUCUGGUAGCCGACCACUUGUCAAGACUGGUUAAUGAGGAGGUGACUUUGAAAGAGCUAGACAUAAGAGAUGAAUUUCUCGAUGAAUCCCUGUUCAUGAUAAAUGAGAGACCUUGGUUUGCUGACUUGGCUAACUUCAAAGCAGUUGGAAUUAGCCCUAAGGAUUUGACUUGGCAGCAAAGGAAGAAAAUCCUACAUGAUGCUCGUUUUUACAUCUAGGAUGAUCCACAUUUGUUCAAGGUUGGUGCUGACAAUCUUCUGAGAAAGUGUGUAACAAAGGAGGAAGCCAAGAGCAUAUUAUGGCAUUGCCACAAUUCACCAUGUGGAGGACAUUAUGGUGGAGACAAAAUAGUAGCUAAGGUCCUACAAUCAUAAUUCUUUUGGCCAACACUCUUCAAGGAUGCCUAUCAACAUGCACUACAAUGUGAUCAAUGCCAGAGAAUGGGAGGAAUUUCCAAAAGAAAUGAAAUGCCCCUGUAGAACAUAAUGGAAGUGGAAAUCUUUGACUGUUAGGGAAUCGACUUUGUAGGUCCCUUUCCCCCAUCCUUUGGCAAUGAAUAUAUUCUCGUAGCUGUGGAUUAUGUCUCCAAGUGGGUAGAAGCAGUGGCUACCCCAAAGGAUGAUGCCAAAACUGUAGUAAAGUUCUUGAAGAAGAACAUAUUUGCUAGGUUUGAGGUGCCUCGGGUCCUAAUCAGUGAUGGUGGCUCUCAUUUUUGCAAUAGCUAGUUGCAGAAGGUGCUAGGCUAUUAUAAUGUCACACACAAAGUAGUUUCACCCUAUAACCCUCAAACAAAUGGCCAAGCAAAAGUCUCCAACAGGGAAUUGAAGAAAAUCUUGGAGAAGACUGUGGCUUCAACUCGGAAGGACUUGGCAAACAAGUUAGAUGACGCAUUAUGGGCAUACAAAACUGCUUUCAAGACCCCUAUAGGCCUAUCUCCAUUCCAAAUGGUUUAUGGGAAAUCCUGUCACUUAUUGGUGGAAAUGGAACAUAAGGCAUAUUGGACCUUAAAAUUUCUGAACUUUGAUGGGGGUUGCAUCAAGGGAAAAGAGGAGAAAAGAGGAAGAUAAAGCUCUUGGAGUUGGAAGAAAUGAGAUUGAAUGCAUAUGAGUCUUCAAAGUUGUACAAGGACAAAGUGAAGGCUUACCAUGAUAAGAAGUUGCUCAAGAUGGACUUUAGCCCAGGACAACAUGUGAUGUUGUUCAACUCAAGAUUGAAGUUAUUCCAAGGCAAGGUCAAAUCCAAAUGGUCUGGACCAUUUACAAUCAAGGAAGUCAGGCCAUAUGGAGCAAUAGAAUUGUUCGAUCCUCAGUCAGAGACUCCAGAUAGGACAUGGGUAGUAAAUGGUCAGAGGUUGAAGCUUUACCAUGGUGGAAGCAUUGAGAGGUCAACCAUCGUCCUUCAUUUACAAGACACAUGAGGUAAUAUGUGUCAAGCUAAUGACGUUAAGCGAGCGCUUACUGGAAGGCAACCCAACUCUUUUUAUUUUCAUUAAUCAUUGCAUAUAAUUAGGAUCAACUUGUUUAUGAUUGCUUGAGUAAGUCAUCAGCAUGUUUUGCAUAGAGAUAUGGGGUUGUCAAAGCUUCUUUGAAGCUGUGGAUGAAAAAUAACUCAGAAAAUUUUUCAGUCAUCCACUCACUCAACGUGCCCUGUGCACUAAGCAAAUCAUCAUGCAUGCGCUGAGCGAGUCAUUACUCGCGCUAAGCGCAUCAACCCCUACCCAUUGGAUGAUGGGGUCUCGCUAAGCGAGCCUUGUGCACUAAGCCUAAAAACCUCUUUGAAAUUGCAUUUAAUGGAAUUGGGCUAAGUGAGUCAUCUCGCUAAGCGCACAACAUAGUCUCGCUAAGCGAAACUUUGCGCUAAGCGCAAUUCCUUCUCUGUCUGGACCAUCAUGUGAAUUGGGCCCAGCGGGUCAGCCCGGUAAGCCCAAAUCCCUCUCGGGUAUGGAAUUGCGCUAAGUGAGACGGUCUCGCUAAGCGUGCCCCACUACUACAUUAGGAAGCAUUUAAUUCGCUAAGCGGGCACCUAUCCCGCUAAGCGAAAGUUGCAGACCAAUCAAAGCUGCAGAUCAUGCUAAGUGCAUACCUUUCGCGCUAAGCCCAAAUCCUUCUCGGGUUUUCUAAUUUUCGAAUUAGGCUGAGCGAGUCUAUCAUACUGAGCACGUGAAUUUAAAAUCUGAAAAUUCAAAAGUCACUGAGUGCUUGCUUAGUGAGUCACUCGCACUAAGCGAGACAGUUGAAACUGCCAAAAAUAAGACUUAACUGCUCUGGGCAGUUUCUUUUAUGCAAUUUACAAAUUUCUUCUACUUGCAUCUUUGUCAUUUCUGUACUCAUAUGCACUGCACACUCACUUUCUCUGCUUCUUACUCCCAACUUGCAUUCUCUACUCACUGCAAUCCAAGUAACUACUUCUCACUUUGCCUUUUUAAUUUUCAUUUAUGAACCUUAGGAUAGAAGCCAUGCUUAGGUUUUCAAAGCUUUGAUUAUGUGUUGAUUCUACUGUCAUUAGGGUAGUUAUUAAAAACCAUGUUCUUAGGGGUUUUGUUUCGCACAUAAUGUAUGUUGUUUUGCUGUGAAUUGCUUAGGUUUUGAGGCCUAAUAGAGGCCUAUAGUUGGGGGCUGCAAAGCCCCAAUUUUUUUGGAAUUCUCGAUGUUCUCGCUAUGCGAGCCCGUUCGUUAAGCAAGUUCAUCAAUUCUUGAUGAAUUUCUGGGUUUUUUGAUGAACUCGCUAAGCCAGCCCUGUCCCGCUAAGCGUGUUCAUCAUUUUUGUUUAAAUGUUUGAAUGUAUGUAUGAAAUCGCUAAGCCACUGCACUUUAGCUUAGCGAGUGCUUAAAUUUCCAGAUUUUGUUUUUAUGUUCGUAUGAACUUGCUAAGCUAGCAUAUCACGCUUAGUGAGUUGUGUUGCUUAGGUCAGAGUCAACGAGGUUGUUAGUCUUCUGUUGGUGGCUAAGCAAGUCAGUCUCGCUAAGCCACCAUGCCUCUAUAGCUUGAAUAAGCCUGGGCUAAGCAAGUCAGUCUCGCUAAGCCUAAGGCAAUUUAGUUUUCCGAGUUUUUGUUCAUGUGCUAAGCGAGUUAGUCUCGCUAAGCGCAAUUUCUUCUCUGUUUUGGAAUUAGGCUUAGCAAGCCUGCUCGUUAAGCCAAUUAUGUUCCAGUGGUCAAGUUUGGCUAAGCGCUUGCUGGCGCUAAGCCUGUAUAGUGUGUCACUCUAAGUGAGUCAGUAUCGCUAAGCGCAAUUAGCUCUCUGUCAGAGAAUAAGGCUUGGUGAGCCAUGCUCGCUUAGCCAUUAUGUUGUUUCAGCUAAGCGAGUGUGUCUCGCUCAGCCAAAGUCUGUGUUUUUGUGUUGUCGUGCUAAGCGCGCCCUGUGCGCUAAGCGUGUGCUGUUAUUUUCAUAAGCGAGUCAGUCUCACUAAGUGCCCAGUCUGUUUUUCUGUUUUAUUUUUCUAUUUUCAGUUUGAGAUAAAACCUGUCUAACUUGAUUCCUGUGAUUCUUUUUUGAUGCAGAUGGCCUCCUGGAAAAGGAAAUGCACCGCCUCCCGGCCCUAGGAGCCUUAUGACACUACCAGAUUUAUUUCUGAGGCUACCUAGGAGAGGUAUUCCCAGAAUGUUCACUCUCGGAACAUCCUUCUGGAGAGGAACGUCACUCUUUAUGUCACAGAAUAUGAUGAGUUCCGCUAGGAGCUCGAGAGGCGAUGUUGGCAUAAAGCCUUGACCAGGCAAAUGGAUGGGCAUAUAAUUGAAGCCCUGGUCAAGGAGUUUUAUGUGAAUUUGUAUGAUCCUGAAGACAAAUCCCCCAGGCAAGUCAGAGUGCAGGGGAAGCUAAUCAAGUUUGAUGCCAUCUCUCUUAAUGCCUUCCUGGAGACGCCACCAGUUCUUCAGCCAGGGGAGCAGUACACUUCUUAUUCCAUUUUCUGUUGAUCAUGCCCAAAUCCUUAAGAGCUUGCUUCCAAGCUCUGCAUUCCAGGGCGCGGAUUUGUUUUGAAUGCUGAAGGGGCACCCUGAAAGCUCCUGAGGAAGGACUUGACUACUCUGGCACAGACUUGGAGUGUCCUGUCCUAUUCUAACAUCGCCCCCACCACUCACACGUUCGAUCUGAAUAUAGACCAAGCAAGGUUAGUUUAUGGAUUGGUUAUGCGAAUGGACAUGGACUUUGGCUUGCUCAUCCCAGGCCAGAUCUCACAGAUGGCCCAGUCUAACUCCUAUCGACUUGGCUUCCCAACCCUCAUCACUGCUUUAUGCAUCGCCUAGGGAGUCGUCUUAGAUUCACUAACAUUUGAGUCCCUGAGCCCCGCCAUUAACUUGGCAUACAUCUUGAAGAAUUUUUGGAACCCAGAUGAUCCUUCGAUCACCUUUCCGGGGACCCGUAAGGCUCGGGCUUGGGGACCAUCGAAUGCUUCUGCUCCUUCUUCUUCUUCUUCUUCUCCAGUUCCAGCCCCAUUUUCUUCUGCUCCAAAUUCUACUUAUGCACCUCCAGUACCUUCCGGCCCCUCCGCUCUAAGCUCAGACGCCAUGGUGACGAUGUUGUAGAGCCUUCACCAAGGCUUAUGCCUAGUGAUGCAGAACAUUCAUAACUUGGCUCAGCAUCGACCCAUCAUUAGCAUGGAGGAUUUCAUGGCUCGGGUGGUCUGGCCAGGAGUCCAACCUUCUCCUUUGGGGGGAGGUGAGGCUCCUACAACCCAGGAGCCGCAGCCAGAGGCACAGCCCACGUCGGAGGUCACAUAGGAGGCUACACCAGAGGUCUCACCUGCUGCCACACCACUUGUGGAGGUCUCUUAGGAGGAGGAUGGUGCUGCAGACACCGAUUAUGCAGCUAAUAUGGUAGCAACAUAGAACACUUGGGAUCCCUGGCCCACAGCAGCACAGAAGACAUCUCAGUCAGCUCAGGAUGCUCCUUCCUCACCUUGGGAUGAUCAGAUACCGGUGCAGGAUGAGUGAUGACAGGACUAUCAUUUAUUUUCCUACUUUAGAUACAGUUUUAUGUUUUUAGUUUCAGUUUAUUUAGUUAGCAAAUUUCAAAUCUUCUUGAACAGUUUACAUUCAUUUAUGCAGUGGUUGUUUUGGUUUGGAAUUUCAGUGUUUGUGAAUGAUUUGAAAUUGAUCAAUGGCAUGAAUUAAGUGAAUUGUGAUGAUUAGAUCACGUGCUUUGAAUGAGUAUGCAAUAAUUAGAAGAGAAAGAACAUGAAUUAGGGAUGUGAGUGAAAAUGUUAGUUGGUUUGACAGGUAAAUUGUGAAGGUAAUCAUUAGCCAUAAACUGGUGAGUUGUGUGAACCUUAAUUGUGAGAGAAUGACUAGCAUUGAGUACCGAUUUUUGCAUGAAUCUCUGAAUACUGAAUGAAUGCAUGAAUUUGGAAAUGAUGAAGGUCAUGAUUGAUUGAAAUAGCCACUUAGCUAAAUAGUUUACCUUGUUCAUGAAUGAAUUAUCCUUUGCACCCACGUUGAGUUUAAACUUGAUUGAUUAAAUUGAACCCUGAGCCUGUUGAAGUGUAAUCUCCAUCUACCUUUUCUUAGGUUGUAGGAGAGCAUCAUGGUUCAAAGCAAAUUUGUCCCAAAUUUGGGGGAGGAUGUUGGGUGACAAUAAUUGUGGUAAGACAAAUAACAGCCACACAAAAAUAUCAGAAAGUAGUAAGUAAAAACUGCUAAAAUAAAAAAAAAAAGAAAAAGAAAAAAAGAAAAGAGAAAUUUCAAGAAUAAAAGUAUGUGUGUGUUGUUACUUAAGCUAAGUGCCUUAAAUGUUGAUUGGCAAGUCAGUAGAAGCUGGGAAUAAAAAGAAAAAGAGUUGAUCUAAGGAUGAAUGCUCUCCUAGAACCUAAGUUUUGCAUCCUAGAAAAACCAUGAGUUGUUUGCAGCCUAGCCUCAUUACAAGCCAAGAAAGUCCUUCAGAUUCAAUUUAUGUGUUUGUGAUUGUAUGGCAUGAGAUGAAAUGCAAAAGUUGAGACUUGUGUUGGUUGUUGACUGAAGAAUUGCCUUAAACACUUGUGCUUAUGAGUGAAAUAGUGACAAUGAGGAUUUGGCUUGAUGAACCUUCCUUGAUACCUAUCUUGCUUGCUAGAUUAUUUCACUUGUGUUGCUUAAUAACCAUGUUCAGAUCUUUGAAAUUCUGCAUAUCUUUAUGAGAAGUUGUUGGUUGAAAGCAAUGUUUGCCACUUGUGUUCAUAUGAUUGAAUGCUUUGGAACAAACACAAUUUUUAAUAACCACUGUGAUUUUGUCACUUGAGGACAAGUGAACUGUUCUUUCCUUGCUUGAGGAUAAGCAAAAUUGUAAAUUUGGGGGAGUUUGUUAGUUGUCAUUUAUGACUAACUUUUGUAUUGAAAAGCUUCAUGAAAUUUAUAUCUUUUCCCUAAUUUAUGGUUCUUUUUGUAGGUUUGUACAUAUUUUUUUUUGUUUAGUUUAAUUUUACUUAGUAGAUAUUCCCAAUAUUGUGAUUUAAUGUGGUUCAACUUCAGUUUCAGGCCAAAGGAUGAAGAAGAAGAAGGUUGAAGCAGCUAGUGUCUCGCUAAGCGAGGCAUAUGCACUUAGUGAGUAACAUCCGCUAAGCGAGGCACUCAGCUCGCUUAGCGAGUGGGAAAAAUCUAGAAGAGAAUCUUCAGCUCGCUCAACGAGUCAUUUGUCUCUUCUCUCACUCAGCGUGCCCAGCUCGCUAAGCAAAAAUCCACUAACUCGCGCUUAGCAGGAAAAUGGCGCUAAACGAGCCUUCAGGAUCAAAAAGCCCUUAAAAGACUAAAGUUGGCGAAAAAAUAAGGGGAGUUCAGUGAGUUUUUAUGAAGAGAGACAUAACAGAGCAAGAGAGAAAAGCUUGAACGAAAGGCCUCAACUAAAUUAUGUCUAGACACAGAGUGCAGGGAUUUAGUUUAUAAUAUGUUGUAAUCUUAAUGCAAUUCAUUUAGGCUAAGUUUGACGAGGAAUCUAGAAUGAAGCUUAAAUAGAAUUAGACUCAUUCACUAGAGGAAUCUUGGUUUGAGUAGUCAUUUUCGGCAUAGAAACACAUAAACAACCUUAAAUAGAGAAAAACACUUAAUUACAUCAUUUUGUUCAGUAGAAGGACCCAACGUUUUCAUCAUCUGUUUAUCUCUCACAUUUAGAUAGUUAAUUUUGUAGUUAAAUUAAAACUGUAGACACAACUUCUCUUUAUAUUUACUGGCUUUAUACAACUGCUUACCUACUGAAUGAAUGCUCCCUGAAUGAAACAAGUUCCAUGUGGACUCGACACUCGGUCUUACCGUUUUAUAUAUUACUUGUGCGACUCGGUGCACUUGCCGAUUAACAUUUCUAACCUGUGAAACAAGUAUUUUAGCGAGAAGCGAACACUGCUCUUGUUGUUGCUGAAGUUAGUAUGCCAACUGCUUUGGUUGGUUCUGUUAUGGCACCAUCGUCCACCGUCGCUACACCUUUGUUGAGUGUCGGUGUAGAGACCAUCAGUGCUCUUGUGGUGUCUCCUCCUUCCUCUUCGGCUCCAAUGGUCAUCCCUCCACUGCGUUGGCGGCGACAUCACCUUCUUCGUCUUCUUGUCCCCGUGUCUCCUUGGAUCAUUUGUACACCUUUAGUGAUACUGAUUCACUAUGGGGUACAAGUUACAAGCUGGAGCAGAAGACCCCAAUUGGCUUUGUUUUAGCCUUUGAUAAGAACCUUAUUAGGUCAGCUGGGGUGCAGAAUGCUACGCAUUUUGCCAAAGUUUUUCUUUAGAGAAGUUUGGCGAUUCUGGAGGAGAACGGAUAGUGGCACCAAGAGGCUUUGCAUAAGGUGGCAUCCUUGGAGGCAGAGGUCGCCAAAUGAAGGGCUACUGCUCGCACAGUUUGGAGAGUGGACCACCCUAAGGUGACUAAUGCCACCAUAGCCUUUGUUAAGGUCGUAAGGUCAAAUCGCCAACUGCCUUCCAAAGUUGGUGGUGUGUUGGCCAAGUUGCUACGCACCAAGUUGGAUGGUGAUGAAUUGUUCAAAUGCUACAAGGACUUGUAAGUGGAUAAAAGCUACCUAGCUAGCAAGAUGGAGGGCAUUGUGGCAGAGAGGGACGAGCUUGUGAAGGUGAAUGUUGAUUUAAAGGCUCGACUUAAGGAGUCAAAGUCUCGGUUAAAGGAGUACGAGCUGUGGGCUGCCUAGGAAAGGGAGGCCAGCAAGAAGCUUAAGGAGGAGUUGCUCGUUUACAAGAAGGAAGCCAUGGAGCAACAUGAAAAAGGAUUCAACAAGGCCGUCAGGCAGGCCGAGUUCUUUGCCAAGGACCUUGACUUGGGUCUCUUUGACCUUUAAAGGAUGUGAAGGACGAUGUCUUGCUUGACGAGGAAGAAAUUGUUGUGGACAAGGAGGCUAUUGAUGAAGAGCAGAGUGCUGAGGAGCAAGGCGAUGAUACUUGUGUCUAGGUUGCCUUUGCCUUUACCUUUCUUCUUUUCUUCAUUGUUAGAAUUUGAGUCAUAUAGGCCUUGUAACUAUGACAAUUAUUUUUAUUUUUCCUUAAUGCGUAUGUCUUCAAUGCACAUGCUUUCCUUCGAUGGUGAAUUUUUUCCUAUGUGUAUGUUAUGUAUGUUGCCUUUGUCUAUGCAACACUCUAUUACUUGUGGUAGUAUGGAUAGGCCGUCGUGAUGGUAAGUAUAGAAUCUUUGAUGGCAAAAGUAUUUACGCUGAAUACUUGUUCCACUGGUCAGUGAUGCUAAUCAGCAAGUGCACUGAGUCGCACAAGUAAUAUAAAAUGGUAAGACCGAGUAUCGUAUCCACAGGGAACUUGUUUCAUUCAGAGAUCAUUCAUUCAAUAGGUAAACAUUUGUAUAAAGCCAGUAAAUAUAGAAAGAAGUUGUGUCAAAAGUUCUAAUUUAGCUACAAAACUUACUAUCUAAAUAUGAGAGAUAAACAGAUGAUUAAAACGUUCGGUCUUUCUACUGAACAAAAUGAUGUUAUUAAGUGUUUUUCUCUAUUUAAGGUUGUUUCUGUGUUCUAUGCCAAAAACGACUAGUCAAACCAAGAUCCCUCUAGUAAAUGAGUCUAAUUCUAUUUAAGCUUCGUUCUAGAUUCCUCGUCGAACUUAGCUUAAACGAAUUGCAUUAAUAUUAUGACAUAUUAUAAACUAAAUCCCUGCACUCUGUGUCUAGACAUACAGUUCUCUAGCCUGCUCUAUCCAGUUCUAAGGAUUUAAAAUACUUUCCAAUGCUAAAAAUCUUAACUUUACACACAAAUGGGUGAUCAAGCCACAAGCAUGCAAGAAUUAAAUACAGAUAGAAGCAAUGAACACAUAAAAACAACUUUAAAUAGAUAGUGAAGAUUUUUACAUCAAAGCUCAGCAGAAAUCCCCAACAAGAGAUUUAGCAUUCCAUUACAAGUUAGCACCUUUCAGCACCAAGAUGAGGUUUUUGAAGGAAAAUUAAGAUUACAAAGUGGUGGGGAUGUCUCCUCCAUCUCUAAAAACCUAACAAUCACUCAUAAACCUAAAAUCCUCUUGAAAGCUGAGGCCUUUCGUUCAAGCUUUUCUCUCUUGCUCUGUUUUUCGGCUUUGUUACGUCUCUCUUCCAUAAGAACUCCCUAUUUUUUCUCCAACUUCAGUCUUUUAAAGGCUUUUUGAUCCUGAAGGCUCGCUUAGCGCCAUUUUCUCGCUAAGCGCGAGUUAGUGAAUUCUCACUUAGCGAGCUGGACGCACUGAGUGCGAGAAGAGACAGAUAACUCGUUGAGCGAGCUAAUGGUGCACUGGGCGCGUGCAUGAAUGGCAGAUUUUCUUCCAGAUUCUCCCCACUCGCUAAGCGAGCUAAGUGCCUCGCUUAGCAGAUGUUACUUGCUAAGCGCAUAUGCCUCGCUUAGCGAGACACCAACUGCUUCAACCUUCUUCUUCUUCAUCCUUUAGCCUGAAACUGAAGUAGAACCACAUUAAUUCACAAUAUUGGGAAUAUCUACUCAGUAAAAUUAAACUAAACAUAAAAAUAUGUACAAACCUACAAAAAGAACCAUAAAUUGGGGAAAAGAUAUAAAUUUUAUGAAACUUUUCAAUACAAAAGUUAGCCCUAAAUGACGACUAACAACAAGAAGCAAGACCUUGGCAAUGUAGAGGUAGGACUGUGGUGGUCUUGCAAAAAUUAGAUGACAAGAAAUCAUCUCAGGUUUGAUUUCAACCUGGUUAAAGGUCUUGUCACCCAUUUGGUAGGGCUUCCUUUUGCUUUGUGGAGCUUUUCCCCUGAUGUUUGUCAGAAGUAUGUUUGACUUGCUCCUGGUUGAAGGUUUUGCUAGCCAGUUUGGGGGUAGGUCGUGUAACCUGCGAAGCUUCUCCUUUAAUGGUUAUGAAGAGUAAGUAUGACUUCCACUUGAUUGAAGGUCUUUCAAAAUAGUCUAGUGGUAGUUCAUUUUGUUGAAUUUGGACCUUUGACGAUGGUCAUCGUAGUUGGUGCAAGUGAGCAGACCAAAGGGGUGCCUUGGGUUUUGUAGGAGUACUUACCAAGGGUGGACCUUGGGGUUUGGAGGAGUGUGUUCCAAGGGUAGACCUUGGGUUUUUGAUAUACUUGUAUUCCUGCACAGAUAAAAAUUAGUAAUAGAGAAGAUCAUUAAGGGUAAACCUUGCAUACCUUGAGUUCCUAUGGAGAUGGAACUUAGUAACAAAAAGGGCUCACCAAGCAUGAACCUUGGGUUUAUCGAGCCUUGGACCGGGGAUGUAUUUGCCCUAGGUUUUAUCAAGCUUGUGGAGCUGCGUCGAGGCUUACCAAGGAUGAGCCUUGGAUUUUGUGAAACUAUAAGAAUUACCAAGCAUGGAGCUUGGAUUUAACGAGUCUUAUGUGCAGCAAAAGUGUUGUGCACUUGCAUACAUGGCACUAGCCGUGGAUGGCAUGUACUAGAGAUGUAAUGGUGUGCUCUUGCAUACGUGCCUCUUACAAAGUGACAUGUAUUAGAGACAUGGUGGUGUAAAUUAGUAGGACCCACCAAGGGUGGACCUUGGGUUUUACGAUCCUUUUGGAGGAUUAACCAGGGGAUUGUCUGACUUGGGUUUUGGGCAUCAUGCUUUUGCAUGCAUGCCACUUGCCAUGGGUGGCAUAUACUAGAGUCAUAGUAUUGUGCUCGUGCGUACAUGUCGCUUGUCGUGGGUGACAUGUACUGGAGACGUAAUAGUGUGCUUGUACGUACAUGUCACUCACCGUGGGUGACAAGUACUCGAGACUUAGUAGUGUGCUCAUGUGUAUAUGUCACUCGCCGUGGGUGACACGUAUUGGAGACAUAGUAGUGUGUUCAUGCGUACAUGUCACUCGCCGUUGGAGGCAUGUACUAGAGAAAUAAUAGUGUGCUCGUGCGUACAUGUCACUCGUCGUGGGUGGCAUGUACUGGAGAUGUAGUAAUGUGUUUGUGCGUACAUGUCACUCGCCACGGGUGGCAUGUACUGGAGAUUUAAUGCUAGAGGGAGGGCUCACUAAGGGCAAUUCUUGGGUUUUAAGAUCCUUGGAGCUACGACUAUGGAUGCUCGUCUUGAUAAGGGAAAUGUGAGAAGGGGUGUAAAAUUUUUAUUCAAUGUAUUUGAUUAAGUACAAAUUACAUUAAUUAUCCUAGAUGUGCCUCGUUAAAACCUCUCAAGCCAAAACCCUGAUUUUUCUAUUUUUGGGACAAAAGACCUGAGUAGGAAAAAAGUACAACAUUGGGUUUGCAUUUAGGUCAACUGAAGUAAAACUUUAGGUGGGUGAAGUUCCACGUUCUUGGAAUUGCUUUGCCAUCUAGGUCUUGUAGUCUAUAUGCUCCGUUGCCAAGGUUGGUUGUGACCCUGAAUGCUCGUUCCCAGCUGGGGCCAAGCUUUCCCGCUUGGGAAUCUUUUCUGGCUUCACCUUGGACUCAUCAUACAAUGUCACCAGGUUGAAAGGCUCGUGGUUGAACCUUUGCAUUGUAUCUCCUUGCUGCUCGGAGCUUGGCAGCUUCUUCCCUGAUCCUCGCCAUAUCUUGGACUUCGUCUGUGGUUUCGAGUUCUACCUUCAUAUUUUCUUCAUUUUGCUGUUGAUGGAACAACAAUCUCCUUAUUGACAGUUCCCUGACUUCAACAAGGAUCAUGGCGUUUGUGCCAUAUGUGAGUCGGUAAAGAUUUUCAUUGGUUGCUAUCUGGGGUGAACAGUGGUACGCCCAGAGUAUGCUGGAGAGCUCCUUUUUCCAUAGACCCUUAGACUUGUUGAGUCUAGUACGUAGCACCCUAAGAAUGACUCUAUCAAUUGCCUCUACCUGACUAUUGGUCUGAGGAUGUUCGACAAAGGUGACUAGGUGCUUUAUGCCUAGCCUUGUCAAGAAGUCUUUGUAAGUCUGAGCUUUGAAUUGAGUGUUGUUGUCUGUGAUAGUGGCAUAUGAGAGGUCGUACCUACAGAUAAGGUGUUUCCAGGUGAAUUUCUCCACCUCGUUGGCCGUAAUUUCCCACAGUGGUUUUGCUUUUAUCCAAUUGGUGAAGUAGUCGAUAACAACUAGCAAGUAUUUGACUACUCCUGGGGCCUUUGGCAGUGAUCCCAAUAUGUUCAUUCCCCAGGUGGCGAAGGGCCAAGGGGAGCUUAGAUUGUGGAGAUUGUUAGGAGGGGUGCAUGGCAGAUCUAUACCUCCUAGUAAAGUUGAUGGUGUCUGCCCUGAGUGUUGGCCAAUAGUAGUCGGCUCGCACCACUUUGGUCGCAAGGGAGCAUCCUCCGUUGUGGAGACCACAUAUCCUUUCAUGAAGUUCUCUCAUGACGUAGUUUUCCUGUUAGGUGUUUAGGCAUUUGAGUAGGGGUGUUGUCAACCCUUUUAUGAAUAGCUUGCCAUCAAGGAUAACGUUGUAGUUGGCCUUUCAUUUGAGGCGUCAGGCUUCGUCCUCAUUUGGUGGUAGUUCCCCUCGAAUUAGGAAGUUCUUGUAGGGGGUCAUCCAUUCUGGUUCCUCUUCUUCUCUAGCCAUAACUUCCUCAACAUCUAUGGUGGGAGUUUAGAGGGUUUCCCAGAUGAUAGUCUUGAGGUGCCCGACCUUUUUGGUGCUGGCCAGCUUGGAGGGUCUCCCUGGGUAUGUAGUACAUUUUGAAACAUUCAAAAUUUUCAAUGAAAGUCUUCAUGAUGUGAUAGUACUUGAGCAACAUUGUUUCCUUAGUUUGGUAUCUCUUAGCAACUUGUCCUUGGACAAGCUGCAAGUUUGUGUAGCAUCGUAACCUCUUGGCUCCGACUUCUCUUGAUGGCUUCAAACUUGCAAUGAGCACCUCAUACUCUACCUAGUUGUUUGAGGCUUUGAAAUUGAGCUUGAGGGCUUGCUCUAGAGUGACAUUGUUAGGGCGUUCGAGGAUGAUUCCUGCCCCGUUUCCUUUUACGUUGGACACACCAUCAAUGUAAAGGUUCCACUAGUCUGGGAUGGUUGUGUCGUUUCCAGUGAAUUCUGUUAGAAAGUCAGUCAUGAAUUAUGUCUUUAUGAGGCUGCGAGGUUUGUAGUCGAUGUAAAACUCUGAAAGUUUGACGAAUCAGGCCACCAUCCUUCAUGAGAGUUCAAGCUUUAGCAAAACUUGCUUAAUGGGGUAGUUCGUUUUGACGACCACUUGAUGACUCUAGAAGUAGGGCCUGAGUCGUCGGGCCAAGGUAAUGAGUGCUAGCGCUACCUUUUCUAUCAUUUGGUAGCUCUUUUUAGCGUCAUGAAGUGUGCAACUGGUGAAAUAAAAAGGGAGUUGGUGUUUCCCUUCCUCUUGUACGAGCAUUGAGCUAAUGGCUUUGUCAGCUACUGAGAGAUACAAAAGUAGGGGUACUUUUGGCCUGGGUCAACUCUAAACUAGUGGUGUGGCUAUGCUCUUCUUGAAAGCUAGGAAAGUUUGUUCGCAAGUCUCAUCCCAUAGGAAGGGCUCAGGAUUUUUGAGCAAUUUGUAAAAUGGCUUUGCCUUUUCAGCAAGCCUCGGGAGGAACCUAGACAUGGAUGCUAGCCUACCAUUCAAUUUCUGAACUUCAUAGAUGUUAGUUGGGCUGCACAUCUCUAGUAUGGUAAUGCAUUUUUUAGGGUUGGCUUCAAUUCCCCGGUGAGUGAUCAUGAAGCCAAGGAACUUUCCUCCGCCUACCUCGAUAGUAUAUUUUUUGGGGUUGAGGCGCAUGUCAUAUUUACAGAGUUCCCCAAAGACUUCUUCCAGGUCUGUCAUGUGUUGAGCUAUGCUUUGAGACUUGACGUCCAUGUCAUCCACAUAUAUCUCGAUGUUUCAUCCGAUCCACUAUUUAAAGACUCGGUCCAUCAGUCGUUGGCAUGUAAUGCCUGUGUUUUUUAGGGCGAAGGGCAUGACCCUGUAGCAAAAGUUGGCAUCUUCUGUGAUAAAUGUCAUUUUCUCUUCGUUUGGAGCAUGCAUCCUGAUCUAGUUGUAUCUUGAGUAAGUAUCCAAGAAGCUUAGAACCUAAAACACGGAGGCUCCAUCGACUAGCCUGUCGAUAUUGGGCAAAGGGUAUGCAUCUUUGGGGCACGCCCUGUUUAGAUCAGUGUAGUUGGUGUACAUUUGUCAUUUGUCGUUGGUCUUUUUGACCAUGACGACGUUGGCGAGCCAAGUGGAGCACCUAACUUCUCUAAUGAAGUUAGCGUUGGGGAGUUUGUCGACUUCUUCUUUGAUAGCUUUGCAUCGUUCUUCACCCAUCUUUCUUUUCUUUUGUGAUAUUGGUUUGGCUUGGGGAUAGAUGGAAAGUUUGUGGAAGAUGAUGUUGGGAUGGAUUCUCGGCAUCUCAGAUGGGUGCCAAGAAAACAAAUCAAAAUUUUUGUGUAACACAUCAGCGAUGCACCGGUGCUCAUGGCUGGUGAGGUCCCUACUCAGCUGCAUACACUACCCAGGUUUAGGUCCGAGCUGCAGCUUGAUGAGCUCUUUGAUGGGUUUUGGGCCUUUGUGUCACACGGAUCUAUGUCGAAUUUCUAGGCUUGCUUGGUAGACGGUCAGGGCUCGGAUUGGAGACCCUUUAUUCACGCUCAUGACUUGAGUGCCUUCAGCUAUUGUGGGGUGAGGAUAUGGUGCUACCUUCAAGCUUUUUGCAUAGCAUUGUUGUGCUUGCUUUUGUUCUGCCAUGACGGUUAUUAUCUCCCUGGUUAGGGUAUGGAAUUUCAUUUUCAAAUGGGGCAUGGAGAUUAUGGCUCUAAGCUCAUUAAGUGUCUUCUUGCCGAUUAAAGCAAAAUAUAAUGUAUCUGCAUCAACAAGUAGAUAUCUUAUGGUGAAUCUCCUAGAAAGCUUGCCUUGAUCGAAGGUGGUCAUUAAGUCAGUAUAGCCUCUGGUCUCUACUCUUUCCCCUGUAAAGCUGAGGAGUGGACCAGCGUGAGGGUGGACAGUGUCGGGGGAGACCUCGAGUGUCUGGAAAGUUUUUAAAUACAAGAUAUCAGUGGAACUGCCCUGGUCGAUGAGGACCUUAGACACCAUGAAGUUUGCAAUGAUGAUGGAGACAACCAUGGGAUCGUCCUGGUUGACGAGGUUGAUACCCUUGAAUUCCCUAUCUGUGAAGGUGGUAGGAAGGAGACUUCGUUGUGAUGGUGCAUCGACAAAAUUGAUGUCGAUGUUUCGAAUGGCGUGAAGAUGGCAUUUUCGGGAUUGUUCGCGGCCAGCAAGUGUACCGGAUCACACAAGUAGUAUAAAAUGGUAAGAACCAAGUAUCGAACUCUCGGGGAACUUGUGUUAUCUGGAAAGCUAUUUCGGUAAAUAGGUGUCUGGUAUGAAAAGAUGAUUGUGGUUAUGAACAGGUAUGUAAACUAUCUAUGCAAAAAGAAAGAAAAUCACGUAAGAGAAAUGUUGUAUAAAAACAAGUAGAGAACAGGUUGGUCUUCCUAAUAGGUUCCUGAUGCUAGAACGAAUGUUCUCUAUCUAACAAUGCCCAUGUAUUCCUAUGUUGUCUCCUGGAUUGUUAGACCCCGAUUCCUCAUGAUAGCCUAGCCUAAUCCAGAUCAAGCCUCGUCCGCAGAUUCUUCUUGUAAGACUAAACUCAACCAGGACCGCAUUAAGACACACAUACACAACUAAGUUCUUGUACCCCGAUUCCUCGUGACAGCACAACAACUUAGCCCCAUACUAUCAAGGACUUUAGAAUCAGACUAGUUUCCACUGUUGAAUGACCCUAACAAAGCAUGCAUCUACGUGAUCAAGGUAAAGGCAUACUAGAAUGAAAAGCAGAUAGCACAGAGAACACACAAAACAUCAUUACAGAGAUAGAAAUAUAUUUACAUCAGGUACCUACAGGGAAGAUCCAAUAGAGGAUUUAGCUUUCCAUGGUUCGGAAACCUCCUUUACAACACAGAGAAGAACAAGAUGAAAGAUAGCAAAAAUACAAGUGGUGAGGAUGUCUCCUUCACCUCUAGGAUCUCACAAUCACUCACAAACUUAUCUCAAGUUCUCAGAACGACUUCCGCUUCGAGCUCUCGUCUCUGCAGAUCUUCACACAGCAAAAUCUCUCAGAACUCUUUGGAACUUGGACCUUUCUCUCUCUAGAACUUCCUAAACAUGCAAAGCUUCAAGCCAAGGUUAGACUCUCGUGCAUGUAGAGGCUUUUUCAAGAAAAAUGCCAAACUCCCUCAAAAAAUCUGAUUUCAAGUUUAAAUAGGUGGGUUGGUCCCUACUCGCACGCUUAGCGUAAAUCUGAAUCGCUUAGCACGCAUAAGUGGAUUGUGGCUUACCACGCUUCUCUCACUUAGCGGAUGAGCUGAAGUGGUGCGCUUGAUGACCUGGAGUGGUGCCCUCAGCGAACCUGACAGAUCAUCUUCUUCUAGAUUCUUCCUCGUGCUUAGCCAUUGAGUGUCACGCUUAGCGAAUGCUCGCUAAGCCAGCAGAUUGGCUUAGCGAGAAGGUGAAAACAACAUUUUUACCAAUUUGCCUAAUUAACCUGAAAUUAAGAGAAAUUGAUUAUUAAACACACAAAACAAAAGUAUAAAUUAUCUAUUAUCUAUAUUUAACAUAAAGUACUUAUAAUAUUAUAAAACAACUAUAAAUUGGAGAAGUUUGAUACAAUAUACACAAGUUUUAUACACAAAAGUUAGUCGUUUUCACAGACUAACAGGGACUAGUUGGACUAUCCUCAAUAGGAAAAUCCGCCCGCAAUGGUGUUGAUUCACCCCUAAUUUGUUAGGCGGAUUCCUGUUCUUGUGGAGGUUGUCGUUCACACCGUUGUUGUUGGUGUCUCUGUCUUCCUCGGUCUUCCGCUCUAUCUCUUCUUCUAUUUGCAUUGUGAAUCCUUUAUUGCUCCUCUGGGUCUUGUUCCAACUUGGUAGUUGUCUGGCCUAUUGACAAACUGGGCUAGGUACCCAACUUGUAUAAGCUUUUCUAUCUUGUCCUUAAGGGGCCAACAAUCUUCUGUGUUAUGACCAAUACCGUGAUGAUACCUGCAGUAUUUGGUUACGUCUAACCCCGACCUAGGAGGUUUCGUUGGGGGUAGCCUGAUGGGAACCUUUAAGUUGAAAGCUUCCUCUAGAAUUGUAGUGUGAUUAACCGUUAGGGGUGUGUAACGCUCAUACCUGGACCCUUUUGGGAAAGGUUGAUGCUUGUCUGACUUGUGUAAGUCGGUCUUGGUACUUCUUUCUCACUUGUCGAGCUUCUGUAUGACUUGUUUGACUUCAUUCUUGAAUUUGGACAUUUUUCCAUCUGGAUGUAGCCUUUGGCUUACUCGCGCAACUCGUCCAUGCUAUCAUGGAUUUUUUUUUUGCACAGAUUGUCCGCAAAAUUGUUGGGGUGUAGGGCGAGGAGCAUGGAAUGCAACGCUACCUUAGGGUUAAGAUUUUGGAUUUGGACGAUUGUGCGCCCAAAUCUAUCCAUGAAUUUUCUGAGAGACUCGUCAUUUGCUUGUCACAGACUGGCUAAGGCAGUCGAGGUCAUACAGUGAGAUCUACCGGUUACAUACUGCACACUGAAGUGUUCAAUGAGGGUGUCGAAGCUGUCUAUAGACCUAGGUGGUAGUUCGUUGUACUAGGUCAAUGUCGCCCCCUUAAGGGACAUUAGGAAGACAUGACAUAGAAUCACAUGUCAUCAUUAGUGUAUAGGUUCGCCCGAGUCAGGAAGGCAUUUAGGUGCUCAUCUGGGUUUAUGGUCCCAUCAUACCACUCGAGGUUGAGUGGUUUCCACCCCAAGGGUAUGUCAGCCUCCAUGAUGCAGUCAACAAAGGGAUGUUGACGAGUAGUCCGCCCUACUGGACAAUGCAUGUGGGAGAGACUUAAGUCAUCUACAGUGUUGACUGUGCGUCGGGGGUGUGAUUCCCCUUGGAUGUGCUCAAGCAAUGUGUGAGCGAAGUGCUCAUUGCCUUGGGGACGUCUGAUACGAGCCUCCAGCUGAUCAUGGUCAGCCUUUAGCUUUCUCAGCUCCUCCUCAUAGCAUUGCUCCUUCUCCGUAAUUCGGUUUUGAAGUUGCUAUAGAGAAUUUGUGUCUGUCAUAACUGCCGAAUGAGGAUGAAAGUCUUCGAAAGGAGUCUUGCGUCUAAGGCUAGACCAAGUGCUAACCAUGGGUGAAAAAGGAGAGAGUUGAUGAGAGAUCGCGGGGUAUAUUUUACCAUGUCCCCACGGUGGGUGAUAAAUGUACUUACCAAAAUCCGAAGCUAGGACACAUCAGGCUAGACGUGGCCAAUGUAGGCUCUUGAACUUCACACGUCGACUUAGAGAGGCACCUUUGUUAAGAGGACAAGAGGGGGGACCUGCAAAACAAAGGACUCUGAUGCUCAAGUAAGUAUAUGAGUUAGGAGAUAAAGCAAGUGUAUGCUUAAAUGUAGGCUCGAGUGAGCAAUAGAGAGAGAUAAGCAUAGGCUUGUUGCUUGUGUGCUGGUGUGUGUGGCAUGUGUUGAGGGUUCAGUGGAACCUAGUAUUUAUAAGAGUGGAGCAUAUUUGUGGAUUCUUGUUGGUAGGGGCUGUUAUAGCCUUUGCAGAUAAUUCUUGACUUAUAGAUAAUAGCUGAUAGCUUGUAGAUAAUGUUAGAGAUAAGCUGUAGUUUAUAGAUAAAAGCUAGAAAAUAACUGUACUUUGUAGAUAAUGUGUGGCUUUGUAGAUAAUUAAAUACCUGCCAGUAGAUAAAGAUACUCAAUUAUAUUCAAAUAUUAAUAGGUUAGAGAUAACCUGUUAGUCAGGGAGCCUAACUGCUAAGGGCCGAGUGUUCAUGCUCCUGUUGCAGGGCUGACGUGGAGGGUUGACACGUGUCUUAGAGUGUCAUGUAAGGUGUCAAUUAUAUUUUGUGGACCCUGGACAGUAAAUGUGAUUUCAUAUUAUUAAUUGAUUCAAUUGUUGUUGUGGUGCGAUUUUAAGAAUUAUUAUUGGAUGCAUGAAAUUAGGGAGUUUGUUGGUAGUUUUUUUAAUGGUAUUCUUAUAAUUUUGUAAGUUGAUCAUCACCUUCUGGGAAAGGAUGAUGAUAUACAUUUUAUUAUGAGAUUAUAAUGUUAUAUACCUCCAUCUGGGAUGAGAAUAAUAUUUAUUUAUAGAUACUCCCAUCUAAGAUGGGGGAGAGAUUCUAGAUACCUUCAUCUAUGAUAGGGAAGACUAUGAGACACCAUUACAUGAAAUAUGAGCUCAUAAACUUUUUGAAGAAUCUGAAAUCUACACUGAUUUUGGAAACCAAAAAAUUGAGUCUUGUGAUUCUGGGAAUCACUAAAUUAUGUCUGUUAUAUUUAUUUGAAUACACUGAGGUAUUGUUGUUUAUUUAAAUAUUUUAUUUAUUCAGAAUGUCAUGAAUUGUAAGUGUUUUAAUCUUAUUUUUAUUAGAGUAUACACACACACACAAAAUCUUAUUUUAAAUUCAUUAUGGAUACCAUGACUGAUUUUCGGAUUACAACGCCAGUUGAGAACAACAUUAUUUACAAAACUCUAAGUUUGUUUUAUUCACUAGGAUUAUCAUCUCAUUAAAAGUGUUGUUUUCAAAGCACAAGGAAGAAGUUUUUGGAAUUGAGGAGGCUUGAAAACUUAGUUACCUUUAAAUACAUUUUUAGCUUUGUUAGUACUCAGAAUAAUAUGUCGAAUGUGACUGAUUACGUUAUACUUUUAGUGUCGGUUAUUUUUAGAUACCUAUAUUUGAGAGUAAUAUUUUUACUUAUGUAAAGACUUAUUUAUUUGACUUUAUUUAUUAUACAUGAGGUAUUUUCGGACUAAUAUAAUUUUGAGAUUUUAUAUUCUUUUUAGUAUGAGUUGUUAUUUUAAUAAAGGCGUUAUGGUGGUUGUAGUAAUAGUGGUGAUUGUGGUGAUGAUAAAUUAAAUCUUUAAAAUAUUUAAUUUUCUAUUUGAUAAAUCUUAUAGAGAUUUUAUAAUUAAACGAGAAUUUAAUUUGAAUUUAAAAUAUUUUAAUCUUGACCUUACAUUUUAAUAUAAUGGAUGAGAAUGAUCAUUCUCAUUCUCACAUAAGAAGAUCAUUCUCACCUAAAACGUCCUUCGAUCUUUCUUUAUGUAUAUGAAACGUCUUCCUUUUUCUUUCUAUAUAAAGGGGAUUAACAACCAACACCAUAAAUAUUUGUAAAAAAAAAAACCCAUUGAAUUCCUUUGUCAUUAACUUUAAUGUAAGGAUAUUAUAAUAAUUUAUGUUUUAAUUUUAAUGUUUACGAGAGAGAAAAAAUGAUUGAUAAUUUAAUGCUUAGAGAAAAUUGUCUAAAAAUUAAUGUGGACAAAGAUGAGAGAAGAAAGAUAAAUAAUUAUUUUAAAAUUGAAUCAUAAAUUAAUAUAAUAUCCUUAAAUUAACUUAUUAUACAAAGGAAUUUAUUGAUUUUUUUUACAAAUAUUUAUGGUAUUCCUUAUAAAUACUUAAGUAUAAAAGUUAUAAUUUUUAUUUUAUAUCGAAUAAUGUGGAUUAACUAUUGACUUAUUAAGUUGAUUCCUGUCCUAAUAUUACGAUCGAAUAGAUUAUCAAUUCGAAUUCGAAUCUAAUAACAGUGCUCAAUAGCAACUUCAUCUAAUAUCUACAUGACAUGCCGCAUCAUUAAAAUUGAAAAUUUGAUCGGAUAUUUGAUCAAAAACAGAUCCAUACAAGUGAUAUCUUUUGAAAGAGAUCCAUUUUGGUAAAUAUUUAGAGAGGUAAAGGUCGAAGUAAAGGUAGAAGUAAAGAGACCCAUGUAAAAACUGACCCAAAUUGGUCAAAUAGCCGUUGUAAGUUAUAACCACGUGGAGUGGAGCAGCGACUGGUAAAGGUAGAAGUAACCAUAGCGAACGUCGUUUUAUUUCUUAUUCCCCACGUUUCAAAAAAACCGUGAAAUUUUCUUAAUCUGUUGGCCUUCUUCCACGAUUCCUCUGACCUUUCUUCUUCACUUUUAAUUUCUGGUCUUCGGUGAUACCCAAUCUAUCUUCCGUUCAAAUCCCAAACCCCCUUCGCAUCCAAUGCCCUAGUUUCGCUCCAUUCUCUCCGGUUCCUCCCCACGAUGUCCAGCGACACCUCCUUCGCGGACCGCAAGCUCUGCGGUUUCCUCUGUACGGUUCUCACACUCACUCCCCGCGACGACUCAGACACCACCGACAUACCCUUCCCCGAGCCAUGCGAAAUCUUCGGCGAAGGGGGCGAGGUCGGCUUCCGGACCCCGAACGGCGUCGUUCUGGGCCCGGUGCUCGAUUCGUUGCAAUGCGGCGGUGGCGGCGGUGGCGGCUCCAACAAGAUCAAGAGAAGGAACAAGAUUGGAAUGGUGAACGGGAGCGUGAGCGUGGUUCACCAGCUCCACGCCAUGGUCACUCGCAAGUGCGCCAGAAUCGACGCUCGCGUGGUGUGCGUUGAAGCGCUUCCUAGGGUUGUGGUGCUGGUUGACGUGUAUGUCCCCGUUCAGGUAUGGAGUGGCUGGCAGUUUCCGAGAUCGGGACCCGUCGCUGGCGCCGUUUUUCGCCAUUUGAGGUUAGCUUCUUCUUUCUCGCCUUCGAAUUCUUUGUAUUUAUGUUUAGGGAUUUAGUUACUAAUAACAUUGCAAUGUGUAGAGAAAGAUCACAUGAACGAUUUUGGUGAAUUCUGCAUAAGUAAUAGUUUGCCAUACUGUAGUUGUUUGAGGUUUUAAUUUUUAAACUGUGGUUGAGUGGUAUUUAUUGGUGUAUGUUUUGAUUAAAGUUUGAAAUCAUAGUGUAGCGUGGUUUUACAGUUUGAGCAAAGUUUUUGAAAUUCUGCACUACUUAGUCCUUUGACAGUUAGUCAGUUACCAUGCUAAAUUUGGCAUUUUUUAAAAAAAAAAUAAAAUUAAGGAAAUAAAUAACUAGUUUAGCUAGAUGUCAUGGUUUUAAUUGAAGGACUACAAGUACAUACUACUAGAGAUGGUGUAACUGUUUCAUGUGAUGUUGUCUGCGAUUUGAAUCUUUGGUUAUCUUAUUGCUUGUUUGGUCACGUGUGUUGGUGUGUAUUUAUGUGUAAAUCGAGAAGCUGUGAAUUGUAGCUUUCAUGUUAUUCUACAAUUUGACAUGAGAUUUUACAUGUAUAACAUAAAUCUGAACAGACUAUAAAUACACUAUAAUUAUUUAGUGGUGUGGAUGAGAUGGAAGAUAGUUGUAACCUAUGUAACUGAUGUAAUGUUCUUGCAAGGGUAGUUGCCGGAUUCUUUUAGCUACUCUGCAUACUAGAGAGUAGAGACUAUUGCCUUGCAAACACGGUAACUUUGUGGUCACAUGUUUCAUUCCUGAUGGGUUAUAUGAAUAUCAUGACAAUUAUUGAUGCAUUGUGUUGAUUUGCAAAAACAUUGUUUUUUCUCUUUUGUACAAGAUGAGAGAAAACUCAACAUUUCUUUCUCUUUCCAUUUCUAUUUUUAAAGGGGGGGGGGGGGGGGGGGGGGGGGGGGUUAAAAUGCAUCUCAGAUCAUAAGAUCCUUCCUAAAAUGCAAAUACAUAACUCAUAAUAAAGAUUAAAAUUCAAUACAUAACACUCAACUCAAAAUAGGUUCAUAAGUCAUAACAUAACUCAUAGUAAGUUCAUAUUACUUAAUACAUGCACACUAAACUAGGAGAUCAUUCAAAUUAAAAUCAGGAAAGUCAUCUGUCAUCCUCCAGAUGAUCUUCGUCCUCUUUAAUGGCAUUUCCUCUACCUUCAUCAUCAUCAUCAACAAUUGGAGGAACCUCCAAAUCAUCUACUGGUGCACCACCACCUACUAGCUUCUUCUCCUGCUUCAACUAAGAUAGCUUCAUCUAAAGCAUCCAAUUCUAAAUUUGCUUCGUUCUCCACCACAACCCAUUCUUCAUCAGAAGCUUUGGGGGAAAGUUUCAAAAGAAUUUAUAUGAUACAUUGGUAAAAUAUGCAUUCUUAGCUAGUUUCGUAUUACACUACAAAUUGAUCAUUUUAUCAAACCUAAUACCAUCUCUAACAUGAUCAUACAAGAUCACUCACUGGUUUUAUUCUCGGAAUUCUGUAAACAAUAAAUUAAAUUGUCUGCCUUCAUUUUCCUGUGUGAAUAUACUUAACGGAUGUCUUUGGCUGUCUUAGUUAGCUAAUAGCUAAAUGUUUAUGCAGCUGUGAUUGGAAUGAGAGACGUUCAAUGCUUUCAUAUCCAGACUAUUGUAGGAAGACUUAUGGAGCAAAUGAGAGCAUUUGGAACCUUUCUGAUUGUCAUGUACUUGGUUGCAAGCUCCAUUCCGGUGUGAGCAAUUCUUCAAGGAAAAUACUAUUUCAACUUCAUGAAAUUUUUAAGGCACUACCUGGUGUAGGAAAGCGGCAGACAUUUAAUAGUUCCAAGAUAAUACCUAUGGAUAACAUUUGCAGAUCAGGCAUUUGGGAGUUAUCUGAUGAUAUUUUAACUAAGAUUUUAGCUUCCCUGGGCCCAAUGGACCUCACUAGGGUUUCUGCAACAUGUCAUCAUUUAAGAUCCUUGGCUGCUUCGGUAAUGCCUUAUACCAAGUUAAAUCUGUUUCCUCAUCAGAGGACAGCAGUUGAGUGGAUGUUGCAUCGUGAGCGAAAUGCUGAGCUUUUGCCACAUCCGUUAUUUGUAGCUCUCUCAACUGAAGAUGGCUUUAGUUUCCAUGUAAAUACUGUAACUGGUGAUAUUGUUACUGGGGAAGCUCCCACCGUCAAGGAUUUUCGUGGAGGAAUGUUUUGUGACGAGCCUGGCUUGGGUAAGACUGUAACAGCUCUCUCUCUUAUUAUGAAGACGCGAGGUACAUUGGCAGACCCGCCAGAUGGGGCACAAGUAGUCUGGUGUCAACAUAAUGGUAAUCAGAAAUGUGGAUAUUACGAGGUCAGUGUUAGUGGUAAUCACAUCACUGGUUGUACUACCUUGGGUAAGAGGGAUGUGUGCCAAGAUACCAGCAGAACUAAUGAUAACCAUGAUUACUCCUCCAAAAGAGCCAGAUUGAUAGAUCCUGAUCAGCAAAUAACUAAACUUCAUGAUUCAUGUUCCAGGGAAGAAAACAAAUCACCUGUUGAUGCAUGUUUCAAGGAAUCUAUGCAUUCAAAUCAGUUCACUGGGAGUUUGAGUCGCAUAAAGAAAAAUCUACAUUUCACAUUUGAAGAUGAAGCUAUGAUUUCCAAGGAAAGAGAAAUUGGUGAAGGAUUAAUUAAAGCAAAGCAUGCAUUAGAUGUUACAUCUCAUGUAUCUCAAAACAAGUCGCCUGGGAAGCCUAAAGGUGACUGUUUUGAGUACAAUGAUACAUGGAUUCAGUGUGAUGCUUGUCACAAGUGGCGAAAGCUUGUAGACAAUAGUAUGGCUAAUUCUAGUGCAGCAUGGUUUUGUAGUAUGAACACUGACCCUCUGUAUCAAAGUUGUAGUGUCCCUGAACAACAUUUUCAUAAUAUCUGUAAGAUAACACACUUGCCAGGGUUUCAUUUGAAAGGAACUUGUGGAGGUGAGAAACAAAAUGUUUCUUUUUUCACUAGCGUGCUUAAGGAGCACUACUCCUUGAUAAAUUCUCAGACAAAGAAGGCCCUGACGUGGUUGGCUAAAAUUUCAACAGACAAGCUUGCAGGAAUGGAAACAAAUGGCAUCAGGGGUCCUAUUUUAAACAUUUGUACUGCAUCUAAUAGACAUUUCCACAAAAUAUUUCAAGCAUUUGGCCUCUUAAAGAGAGUAGAGAAAGGUGUUUGCAAGUGGUACUACCCUCAACAUCUUAACAAUUUGACUUUUGAUGUGGCUGCCCUUGGCAUGGCUCUCCGUGAACCAUUAGAUUUUGUUAGGUUAUACUUGUCAAGAGCUACCCUGGUAGUUGUUCCAGCAAACUUGGUUGAUCAUUGGAAAACGCAAAUAGAAAAGCAUGUGAGGCCUGGUCAAUUGCGGGUUUAUGUUUGGACUGAUCAUCAAAAGCCAUCUGUGCAUUGUCUUGCAUGGGAUUAUGAUGUUGUCAUAACUACUUUUAGUCGUUUGAGUGCAGAGUGGGGCCCACGUAAGAGGAGUGCUUUGAUUCAAGUGCAUUGGUUUAGGAUAAUUUUAGAUGAAGGGCACACUCUUGGGUCAAGCCUGAACUUAACAAACAAGUUGCAAAUGGCUAUUUCAUUGAUAGCUUCAAAUCGAUGGAUACUAACAGGAACUCCAACGCCUAACACUCCUAACAGCCAACUUCCUCAUCUACAACCAUUGCUAAGGUUCCUUCAUGAAGAAUCUUAUGGACUGAAUCAAAAGUCAUGGGAAGCUGGUGUGCUUAGGCCAUUUGAAGCAGAGAUGGAGGAAGGGAGGUCUCGUCUGUUACAUUUACUUCAAAAAUGCAUGAUUAGUGCUAGAAAGAUAGAUUUACAAAGCAUUCCACCAUGCACGAAGAAAGUUGUUUAUCUAGAUUUUAAUGAGGAGCAUGCUAGGAGUUACAAUGAAUUGGUAAUCACUGUACGACGUAAUAUAUUGAUGGCUGAUUGGAAUGAUCCUUCACAUAUUGAGAGUCUACUGAAUCCAAAACAGUGGAAAUUUCGUAGUGCAACUUUAAAAAAUGUGAGGCUUUCAUGCUGUGUUGCUGGACAUAUUAAAGUUACACAUGCUGGAGAAGAUAUUCAAGAAACAAUGGAUAUGUUAGUACAAAGUGGUCUGGACCCUACUUCAGGAGAGUAUACCUCCGUAAGAUAUAAUCUCUUGUAUGGUGGUCACUGUGUCAGGUAGUACCUAGGUUUUAUUCUUUCUUGUGGCUUUAUUUUUCUUCUGGUUGUUGCUGUUUAUUAAUUUUUUUCUUAAUAAAUUGUGAAGGUGCAAGGAAUGGUGUCGCCUUCCACUCAUUACCCCAUGUCGGCAUCUGUUGUGCCUUGAUUGUGUUUCUAUAGACAAUACCAAGUGUACUUAUCCUGGCUGCAGUAAAUUGUAUGAGAUGCAGAGUAGAGAGGCCCGACCUGAAAAUCCUAAACCGAAGUGGCCUGUACCCAAAGAUCUUAUUGAGCUACAACCUUCAUAUAAGCAGGCAUGGUUAAUGGAGAACUCAGUUAACAUUCAUCUUUUUUUCCCUCUUUCUGGUUUGCAAUGCUAACAUGCAAUGUUGAUUAUUUAAUACCCAGGAUAAUUGGGAUCCUGAUUGGCAAUCUACAUCUAGUAGUAAAGUCUCCUAUCUCGUCCAGAGGUUGAAAGCUUUGCGAGGAACCAAUGAAGAGACAUACUUCAAUACAGAAAAUAGCAAUGAUGAUUUGCAUAUUGAGAAUAGUUUGCAUAGAAGUGAUGACAAAUCAUCAAUUCAGACAUGUUCUAUGAGCAGCACUAAGACCAAUUUGAACCCUGAGAAAGUUCUGAUAUUUUCUCAAUUUCUUGAGCAUAUACAUGCCAUUGAACAGCAGGUACAGUUUUAUGCCGCAUUUUGUGUGUGAUCUUUCAUGAAUUGUUCUAUUUUAUUUUUUGGCAUCUGUGAAUUCUUUUGCAAAUGAUCAAACUAUUAAAUUGGAUUUCUCUUUGGCAGUUGACUAUUGCUGGUAUCAAAUAUACUGGAAUGUAUAGCCCAAUGCAUUCCAGCAACAAGGUAUAAUGCUGGAAUUUUCUUUUACUGUUUCUUAAAAUUAAAAUUUACUUUUGGUUUCUGACCGUUGGUUAAUUUGCCUUUUCCUUUUCCAGAAGAAGUCAUUAGCCAUGUUCCAGCAUGAUUCAAAUUGUAUGGCACUUCUGAUGGAUGGAAGUGCUGCAUUGGGUCUUGACUUGAGUUUUGUUACGCAUGUAUUUCUAAUGGAGCCAAUUUGGGACCGAAGGUUAAUAUAUCAAACUAAUAUAAUUUGCAAACAAGAAUAUAAAAUUAAUUUUUUAUUGCUUUUAAGACUGAGGGAUAAAAUGAUUUUGAGAAAUUUUAAAAUUCUACAUUAUUUAAUUUUCUUCUCAAGUUGAGCAUAGUAAAAUUUUCUGUGAACUUUCUGUGUGGCUAAUAUGCAUUGUCAAUACUGAACUUUUCUGUUUUGGGAUUUAGCAUGCAAACUGGAACCAUGCUGCAUAAAGUGACUGGCAGUGUAUCUCUUGGUUUCCCAAUUUGCUGGAUCCUUCUACUUCAACCGAAAUUGGCAUGUUUAUCCAGUUUAAUUAUUUUCUAACUUGACCAAAAUGUUUUCAGUAUGGAGGAGCAAGUAAUUAGUCGUGCUCAUCGUAUGGGUGCUUCUCGUCCUAUUUAUGUGGAAACAUUAGCAAUGCGUGGUACAAUUGAAGAGCAAAUGCUAGACUUUUUACAGGUAAAUCUCUAUAAAUUGAACUAUCUUACACCUAUUUGAGUGUACUACUAACAAUGAUGGGUCUCUUUGAAGGCCUUGUUAGUUUAUGUUGUCGUUCAUGUAUGUCACUGAAAAUUGUCUCCUCAAUGUCUUUUGUUUUGUUUAGCUUUUAUAUUGUUGUUGUUGUUCAUCUUUCAAUUUGUUGAUGGUUUAAGCAGGAUGCUGAUAACUUUAGAAGAUCACCAAUUAAGGAUGCUACCGAAUCUGUUGAUGAUAGUGGGGGACGAGGAUAUAGAUCAUUGCAUGAUUUUGCUGAGAGUAGUUAUCUACUGAAACUUAGAUCUGUGUAUACUAAUUUGGAAAGUCCAAAAGGUUUGUACAUACAGUUUUUCCUUAACUGUUUUUUGUUAGCAAACAUAGAUUCAACAGAAAGAUGAGUGAUAUUGCAUUUGAGAAAUUGAAUGCGAGUAGUUUUUAUGACUUCUAUUCCUUAACUGUUUAUUUGAAAUUUUUGCCUGAAACAAAAAGUAAAAAGGUUAUGGUUAUGUUUUCGCCUAAACUGACUAAUAAGAUGCUUUAAAGUUUAUAAGCCACCAGCUAAAAGUUUAUAAGCUUGCAUAUUAAAUUAUAAGUGUUUUGUAAAAUUAUUGGAAUAGUUGGUAAAUGUAAAAUAACAUAAACAUAUUGUAUAACUGUUUUAUGUGAAUUCUAUUUUUGUUUUGUAGUCAAAAACAUUUAAUUAAAAGCUAAUUAAAUAGUUCUGUUAAAGUAAAUACUAAAAUAUUAUAUGAAAUAAAUAACCCAAAAAUUAAUAAAAAGAGAAAAGUAAUUAAAAAAUAGUUACAUAUGAACAAUGUUGAAGAACAGAUCGAGGGUAAAGGUAUAUUAAAAUAGUAAGGAUAUAAAGGAAGGAAAAAAUAAACUACAUGCUUAUAAAUUAUAAGCUACCUGAAGUAGCUAUAAGUUAGUGAAAUAUACUUGUUUACCAAAUACCUUAAUUUGGUCAAACAAAGCUUACAAUGUAGUCAACUAAGUUACAAGUUUGCUUAUUGGACAUGCCAAACACACUAGAUGUUUGGAAGUGAUAAAGCUGUUGAAAUCCUACUAUGAUUUUCUUUUCGAGUGAAAGAAUCAAGUGAUACUUGCAUUGCUCAAAAGUCACAAGUUAUUGUCAAUUCACUUGGUGAAUUUUGGUUAAAUGAAAUAUUGUACUCCCUUCGUCCCUAAAUAUUAGACUCUUUUAAAUGAUUCACACCCUUUAAGAAAGUUAGUUAAUAUAUUUAAUAGUAUUAAAAUUGUUAACAAUUUGUUUUAUUUUGCCAAAGUUACCCUUAAAAUUAUUGGGACUCAUAUCUUUCCUUUCACUUAAUUACUUCCCCACUUAAUUAAUUAAUGUGUGUUAAUCUUAUCUAAUCCUUAUAAGAGAAAUAAUGAUUUAUCUUUUUAGUACAUAACAUUUAUUGUAAAGUAAUUAAGAGUAUUUGGAUCAAAAUAUAAUUAAUGCAAAAGACAACUUGAAACAAACAUAAUUGAAAAAAGACUCUUAUAUUUAGGGACGAAGGAAGUAUGUCCGAGCACUUUAAGCCUGUUGAAACUGAUGGCAUGCUCUGACCCCUCUGAAUAGGACACCCUCUCCUCUCAACUUUCCCUUACCAAAUUGUAUGUUUUUUGAAAAUGAAUUUAGGAUAUGCACUUGCACUUGAAUGAAUUCUUUUACUUUUCUUUAUUAACUUGUUAAUUUAUUUAUUUUUUUAGAAUAUAAUUAGAAUGUAUUGAGUUACACUGUCUUCCAAUAUGAAUAGUCAUAUAGGUGAAAGUUGUUGACUUUUAAAAGUCUAUCUAGAAUGAUUUCUAAUUAGUUGAUAAUGUAAAAAUCUUUAUACUAUCACUAUCUUAAUUAAACUCUUGUGAUAAUGACUUUUUUAUCCGUUUUUACUUCAGGUGUUUGAUUGAUCAACAUCAAGCAAGUACUGACUAAUUUACUUGGAGCAAGUCCUGUGUACAUUUUGCAAGUUUGCAUGCUCUUGAAUAUGGUUUUACUUUUUGAGUAUAUAGUCUUACAAGUGCUCAUCUAAUGAAAGAUGCUUCCAUAUGCAUUGGAGAGUGGAAACUAUUCUUUUUGUGCAGAUUAUGGAGCUAUUUGCAGCGUCGCUUCUGUUUGCCAGUGAUUAAUGAAAUACCGGAAGUGUCCCUGCUUAUUCUUAUGUAAAGGAUUUAGUCUAGUUGAUUUGAUGUGAUCUAGUAGGCAAUUUGGAGUCAAGUAUUCGAAUUGAAAUAAAAUGUUGAGUUAUUGGAAAACAAGUGUUCUCCCACACCCUUUCUCUUAACAGUAGGUAAUAUUGAAAAAUCAUAAUAACCCUUGCCCCCUAAAAUUGGUGAUAUCAUGUAUGUUCUUAUGACUAUCGAUUUCAUUAUAUGCAGCUAAUAUUGUAAUUAUUAGCAAUGAUCCCAGUGCUUAUUAGUCAACAGAAAUUUCAAGAUAUAUUAGCAAUUUGAGGGAGAAAAGGUUUCUGUUCAAUUUAUUCUCAUGUUAGCCUGGGUUUUUAAUUGAUUAUUAUGCUUUGUAGGUUUGUUCAUUUAGUCAUUUGAUUUUGUUGGUCAUUCGGAACGACCACCUGGAUAGUGUAGAAGUUCAAUUAGUUAUACAAUAGGAUAUAAUAUAUAUGGAUGGAGAGAUAAUGAUAAAGAUAGAUGGAUGAAUGGAUAGAGGUAAAGACAGAUGGAUAAUCUUGGAUUAAAUUUAAUUUUGGUUACGUAUGAGUAGAAACUCCCAAAUUCUAUAAUUGUAUUCACUCACAAGUUCUACUCCCAAAUUCAAUAUUCACUCACAAGACACAAGUUGAUUAUUAUGGGACAACAUAAGGGGAUAGGAUUACCUCCUAGGGGAGGAAAGAAAUUAAAAGUUAAUUUUCAAAAUAGUAACCAACCUCCCCGUAUCAAUGUGUUUUUUCACGUUAAAAAGGAAAAAUAAAUAUCACCAAUCAUGCUAUAGGCCUCAAUUUAGCCCAAAAUAUGCAGACAAGUCUAAAAUCCAUAAUUAACUAAUAAAAAUGGUCCUAAUGUAUUCCAAGCUUGAAAUCAAGAAUCGACCAAUCAAAAUAUUCUUAAAUAAUUACAGGUUCAAUUUAGGACUUAAUGACAAUACAAAAUCCAUACUUAAGCUCAAAAUAUUUGAUUUAAUCUUUCAAUCAAGUCCAUAACGACUCAUGGAUAGCUAACACCAAAUUGGAUGAAUUUCGACAAUUAGGUUUUUCAUAACUUCUCUAACUCUCUUGACGCUUUUGUCAUUAGAUACAAACCACAAAUGGUUCAAUUGUAAUUUGUCUUUGGUAUAUUGAUAGGUUCAAUAUUAUUUUUUUCCGUUCUUUCACUCCAAAGAUUGAAGGAAAAAGAAACUUUAUGUUAAAAAAAUGUAACUUAAAAUUAUAUUUUCUUUUCAUCCUUUGGUCUCUUCUGCUUCUAAUAUUAUCCAGAAAUAAUGAAUUGAGUUCAUAUAAACAUUUUGGAUGCUGCCAUUGAAAUAGUGGUUCUUGCUAUAUUUCACAGGGCCUCACCCAUUUUAUAAAGUAUUUUUUUCCAUGUUUAAUGAUAGUUAAAAAAUAUUCGAUAGUAGUAGUAGUAGUAAAUUUGCUAUAAUUUUGACAAAAAAAUGAGUAUUUUAUUAAACUCACUACAAAUUUCAUAGAAAAAUUUAUUUUUUUCUGCACAAUUUCUUACAAAAUUUGUUUUGUAUUAUAAACUUACAUAUUUUUUCUCAAAAAAAUUACAAUAAAUUUUCCAUUUUUUAAAAUCAGUACCUUAUAAUUUAUUUUUUUAAAAAAAUACCUUUAAGAGUGCUACUAAAUUUCCUUAAAUUCACUAAGAAAUCAUAAAAAAAAUAGUUUUUUCUGCAAAGUUUUUUUUACGAAAUUUUUUUUGUAUAAAAAAAAUUCUUUUAGAUUUUCCAAAAAAAAAUUACAAAUAAAUUUUCCAUUUUUUAUAUAUUCGGUACCAAAUAAAUUGUAAGAAAAACCUUAGGAGUGCUAUGAAAAUAAAGUAAGGAAAAUAUAUUUUAAUAUUAUAAAAGUCAAUUAAUUAAAAAAAUAGUUAAUAUUUGAAUAGUAUCGCUAAAUGCUUAAAAUUAACUAUAACAAAUGAUAUUAUAUAAAUCAUUAUUUUAAUUUGUAGAUUAUAGAUUAUUUUAGCCGUUUCAAUUUGGUUUUUCUCUGCCACUUCCAAAUAUAAUUGAAUUUUCAAAAGUAUAAUUUACUUAUAUAUAUUUUUAUUUGAAUAAAUUUUGGAAGAAGAGAGCUAGGUUAAGAUUAAUGUCUGUCCUUACUUAAAUCCUUUCUAAAAAAGGAACAAUUUAUGAGUGAAAAUUAAUAAGCUUAAACAUUUUAGUCUCAAGAUUGUCUCUAAAUAAAAAUAAAGCAUUUCUAAUUUAAUUGAAUGCAUGUACAUAAGUGAAAGCUACCACACGUAGUUUUGGAUUACAAGGUGUUUAUAGUCCGACAGUUUCUAUGUGAUACAUAAUUGAGUUUUUCAAUUUACUAAAAAAAUUAAUAAUAUUCCCUUAUGUGUCAUAUUAACAUAGAUUGAAAUCAUAGUGGUCCCUAAUCAUAUGCAGAUAAGGCCUCUUGAUGCCAAGACCUUUAAGUAGCUGCCUAUCAUUUUGGAAGCAUGUGUAGUAGGAGGUAUUUCUUAGAAUUUGACAUCGAUGUUUUAAGAGAAUCAGAUGAGUCAUCAAACUGAUAAAGAUAAUGGAUUAAUAGGUCACUAAUCAGAUCAAAAUUUCAUUAAUCAAACUGGUUUAACUUGAUAUAUAUUAAAAAAAUUAUAAAAAAUAUAAUUAAUUAAUUUUAUUUAAUCAUUCAAUACUCUAAAUUUAAAAUGAUUGUCGUUAUAAAAUACCUAAUAUAUCAAAUAGUCAUCAAUAUUCAUGUCAAUGCAACUUUAUAAAUAAGUUUCAAAUACAAACAAACAUUCAAUGUGUUAAAAAUAAAAUUAAGUUUACAAAAAAUUUAUAUAUAUAUAUAUAUAUAUAUAUAUAUAUAUAUAAAAUAACACUUGAUUCAAUCAAAGACUCAAUGGAUUUAACCUGGACUACACCAAUUCUAAUAUAUUUACGAUCCCGACCGGUGUGUUUAUUGGAUUCCGAUUGAAUUCUGUCCAAUCCGAUUCUUAAAGCAAUGCGUGACAUGCGUCCAAGUUAACCUAUUUUGGUCGAUGGUGGAGGGGAGCGAAUCUUCCGCUCAAUAAUGCAUUUACUUGACCAAUAGUGUUAGUAAUGCAUGCUUGAUUUCUUUAUGCAAGAUUUUGAUUCUGGGCUUUGUGUAUAACAAUAAUUUCUAAUAGAACAUUUAAUCCCAUUAUAUUCUGAAAUUUACACAAAAGCUGAGUUCUAAGAUGGGUUCUGCAAUUCACAUACAUUGUUGCUGAAAUCCAGCAUCAGUACUUCAAAUUCCACUUGUCAUGCUUGAUUACGACGAACGAAUGCCGACACUACGCUGGCUUUGGACCAUAAAUUUAAGUAAAUAAUUAAAACCAGCGUUUUUAAGUUACACACUCAUCAUAUAAUGUGGUCUUUAACAUCUUGAUUGUGACACUACACAUGCUAUAAUUUGCAUGUAUAGUGAUGCAAUUUGACCGUAGAAGUAAUUUUAACGUUACUAUUAAAUCCUUUUUUCAACUUGCCAAGGCUUGUGGGGUUGUCGCAUUUAAUAUAAACAUGUCUUGAAGUUUCUCACAAGAUAAGGAGUGUCCCCUCUCAUUGAAAUUUAUAUCGAACUUUUGACUUUUCAAUAGAAAAGCAUGAAAUUUAUUGAAUUUGAAAUUUAAAAAAUGUUUUUUUUAACCGAGAGACAUUGAAAUAUUUUAUUUGUCACUCAACUAAUUUUCUUUUAUCAUAUGGUCCCAUUUUAAGAUAAAAUAAUAUCUUUAAUUAUAACUUAAUUCUCAAGUUAGAGAUCAAACAUUAUACCUUAAUUAGUUAAAAAUCCAACUGUGUGAAAUCACUUCUAUCAACAACGAAUUUUGGCCCAUCUUGUGCUAACAACUAAGUUGUUAUUAAUUACUAUACAGAUUGCGUCUAGGUUCUUCAUUUACAAUACCAUGGGACCUAGGAGUCUCAAUCCCUUUUGAAUAAUCCACACCAAACUUUGGCAUAUAAUACAAUGACAAAGCAAGUCAUUAAUGACCUAGAUUGAGACCUAGCACCUACACCGAGCCCUUACUAGUAUAAAAACCGAACACUAAGUGUGAGUUAUGCACACCAACACCAAAACAAACCCACUAAGAUGGCUUCCUUUGUAUCCUUCCUAGUGCUGCUUCUUGCAGCCCUUAUCCUCAUGCCUCAAGGGCUUGCUACUUACUACAAACCAAUUAAGAAGCCACCAGUGUACAAGCCUCCAGUGUACAAGCCACCAGUGUACAAACCACCGGUUUAUAAGCCAAAACCACCGGUUUACAAGCCGAAACCACCGGUUUACAAGCCACCAUAUAAGAAGCCACCAUACAAGAAACCACCUUAUGGAAAGUACCCUCCAGUAGAGGACAACACCCAUGCCUAAAGCAAGCAAUGAGGUCUAUUAUCUACUUAAUAAAUAAGAGGAACUGCUUUGUGUUUUCUAGCAUUGUGACUUACAACUUCGUAGCAAUGCAUAUUCUUGACUCUUGCAUGCACUUCAAUCCUUCGUAGCAUUAAUGAUGUGGCCAAGUCAUCAUGAGCAUCAUACUUAUUUCUUUGUGAAUGUAAAUCAAAAUUAUAAGAGAGAAAAUGGUGCUUUUGUACUACAGAUUACUAUAAAUAAAAAACUUUUAUGGUUUUCAGAUUGUGCUGGUUGAUUGAUUUGCUCUACCAUUAAUUAUGACGAAACGUAGUUUUUUUUUUUCUCUUUUUUAAUCCGUAAAAAUAAAAAAAAUAAAAAAAUAAAUUUAUAAUAAUUCACACUUUAUUUAAUUAAUCGAAAUAAAUUCCAUAAUAGAUGAUACAUAGUUUGACAUACUAUUGUUAAGCUUAAGAUUAAAGAUCGACCCUAUGUUGCAACUAAACUUUCUACAAUCAAUUUUAUAAAUUGGAUUGGUGCAUGUAAGUCUAGCUAGCUAGAGGCAGAAGAACAGUACUAGAGUAGUAGAUGGAAGCCACUCUCCACGCACCUCAAAUAACUCGCAAUUAAACUUGAGCAUAACAUCAAUAGCGACUUAAGUUAAUUUCAAUUAUGGGCUCUAUUUGAACAAAUUUCUCUAUAAAUAUUUCCAGAAGAAAAUAUUAAGAAAACAAUAAAUUGAACUUCUCAUUUAAGUUAAAAUAAACAUAUUUGUAUAUUUUUUAUAUAAAAACUCUCAUUUAACUUCUCUUAAAAAUAUUGAAGUAUAUAAAUUAAUUUUAGCUUAUGAAAAAAAAAAUCAACUUAUUUUAAUUUUCUAUUCUUAAAAAGCCAUAGUUAUAGUUAAUGUGUACAAAGACCAGUUCCUACGAGAGUUGCUGUAUCCUCCUAAACCAAAUAUCCGAAUACUCCUACUCAGUAAGAAUAUUUUGAUAUCUGUUAAUAAUUUUAUAAUAAAUUAUUUAUUUAAUUUGACAUUUUAAUAUUUAAUUUCUUUCCAAGUUUACCCCUUUUCCAUAUGACCAGUCAACUUAUCCUCUUCAUUCGACUUUAAAAAGAGUGGGUGGUGGUGCGGUGAAGCUGAAAACCACACACAAUGAUGGUGGUGGAGAAUGUGAAAAUGGUUGUGGUCGGAGAAGGAGGUACAAGGGACAAAGUUAACUGAGGAAAAAAAAAACUCAGCGUGAGAGAGGGUCUUUUGAAAAAAAGGACAAAUUUGGAAAGGAGAAAAAAAGUUAAAAAGUGUGUUAACAAGUGUGAAUGCUUAGGUGAUUCAGUUACUUUUUCGCCACAUAUGAUCGGAGGAAUAAACAUUUCUCUUUUUCAUAUUACUAUUUUUGUAUGUUUGUCUACACGUACAUGUGGACGGUUAUUUGUAUCAAGUAUCAACUACAUAUGGGUGUCAAAAUUUAAAACUGAACCGAAUUUAAUGAAUUGAUUCAACAACUCUAAUAUAUAUGUGAUGUGAUUUGAAUUUUAAUAAUUUGCGUACGAUUUUAAUUUAAUUUUGAACCUACUUCAGUACAAAAAUUUACGUAUAAUCUUACUACAAGUACUUAAGUCACCACAAUCAUCUACACUCACAUCUUGAAAAAGUGACAUUGAUAGCAAAUUCAUGAAGUACUCACAGCUAACGUCAUUUGAUGGUUGAAUGAACCCCUCAGCUACCCAUAGCUGAAUGAGUGUUCUCUUAUCAAACUCAAAACCUUUUGGAAACAAUGAACAAUAAGCAAAACAGUUUUCCAAAAAUGAAGGAAGAUGGUCAAAACUCAGUUUAAGGAUUGCAAAGAUUUUGUCCUUCUCUUGAUCUAUCUUUGAAAACCCAACUUCCUUAGAGGCUAUUACUAUGCGCACCCAGCAUAAUUACUGGUACAUCCAGCAUAACAGCAUAAUUCCCGUUUUGUCCUUUCCUAAAAUUGAUACAAAUUGUCAAUUCAUAUAAGAUUUACGGAUUGUCCAAUCUGUAAGUAGCCCAAAUAUUUUUUUAAUUUUUUUUUUAAAAAAAUAUGUUUUAUGAAUUAAUUUAAAAUUAAUGAUUCAUGCAAGAAUCAAACUUAUAACUUUCACGUUAUUAACACGACAUUCUAACCAAUCUCAAUAUUCUUGUCAACCCUUUUAAGUUAUUUUCUUUAUGUUAGUUUUUAACCGAUGUUGAAAGUGCCGAUGUUGAAUGUAUUAUCGUUAACAUCGGUUUUAAAAAAACUGAUGUUAACGUUAAUUUUACAACAUCGUUUAUUUAAAUAACCAAUGUUGAUAAUAAGAAUUACACCCAAAAAAAUGUAUUAAUGUUGAUAGUUAACAUCGGUUUUUUGGAAAAAUCGAUGUUAACGUAACUUAACAUCGGUUUUUUUAUAUAAAAUUGAUGUUAACGUAUGUGUUAAUGUUGACAGUUAACAUCGGUUUUUUGGAAAAACCAAUGUUAACGUAACUUAACAUCGGUUUUUUUACAGAAAACCGAUGUUAACGUAUGUGUUAAUGUUGACAGUUAACAUCGAUUUUCUGUAAAAAAAAAGAAAACCGAUUUUAACGUACGUUAACAUCAGUUUUUUCCAAAAACCCGAUGUUAACGUAUGUGUUAAUGUUGACAAUUAACAUCGGUUUUUCCAAAUAAUCGAUGUUGUUUUCAGGAUUUUUUUUUAAAUAUUCUCUCUGUUUUUACAAAAAAAACCAAAAUUUAACCUGUAAAUUUAAAAUUAGACCACACAGCAUAUAUGAUUUGCAUUUUGCUUUCAAAUAGGUUUUAGCAGAAAACUAGCUAGUAAACUAUUAAAAUGAAACAUCAAUUGUAAAAAAUGUAAUGCAAAGUACGGUAAACUAAUUAAGUA
rnacentral:lncRNA from 1 species